AAAAUGCGAUGACUCGGGUGUAUAAUUCUCUCUUGUAAUUUGCAAAGGAAUAAGUGUCCUGUGGAGUUUCUCUCUUUAUCUCAGUAUUGAACUUUUGGAUUCAGUUGGGUUAGAAUUUGUUGUUGUUUUUCCUUAUGCUGUUGAGUCAGUGUUUUGGUUGCUCAGAAUCUCUUCUUUUCUGUUCUAGAAAGGAUAUUGCUGAGGACCGUUGUUAGUAACCUAACAAUAAUUAAAUAUUUAUGCUUGUAUAAAUAUGCUGUUAUUGUUCGGAUGAGUUGAUAAGAACAACAGGAAAAUGGAUGAUGGGAAAUUGAGCUUAAUACUUGUAGGAAUGAAUGUUUUGUGGUAUGUUUUGUGUUUGUUGUAGAGAACUGGAAAAAAAAGUUUGCGUCUGUUGUUGUAAUUUCUUUCUGGAUCGUGACUCUAAGAACUACUGUAAAAUUAGGCUGAGCAUGAAGCUAUUUUUAAUUAAAAAUGAAGUUAUCUAGAGAAUGAUGUGUUUUUCUAUAUCUUUUGCUCUCGAACAACCAUAAUAUCGAAGAAUCAAAAGUCGAAUGUAAAUUGAGGGGUAUGCUAGUUUUCAUAUUUGGUUUUUCUGAAUAUUGUUUCCUCUGAUUGCUAAAAAAAAAGAAUAUUUUUUUCUGUCCUAUGUUGAUUUGGUUCAUGUCCUUCAAAUGGUUGUAAUAUGUUUUCCUUUCUUUCCUCUAGUGGUACGAGUGCUCUAUUUUAGUAAAUUCGCCAUGCAUACAAUGCGCUUUCUAGAUUUCCUUUCUAGGAAGCCCAAAACAAAUAGCUAUACACCUUAAAAAUGAAAAAAUAUAAAGUUUCUAGAUACUUUUUCCUGAUAUUGCCAUUAUAUGUAUCGGCAAGUCUUGCCUCUUCUUUGCAGUUGGCUUUCUGAAAGCUUAGUGCUAACCCUUUUUUUUUCAUGAAAUGAAGAUUUCUAGAAGAAUCAAUGGUUCAGUUUGGAAAAAUCGAGUAGUUAAGUUAAUUUAUAUUGAGUUGAUGUUUAGACUUUUCCUUCUUAUAGGCUCACUUUUCGUGUUUACAUUUAUUUAUAAUAUUGUCUUUUCUGUAUAUAUUGUUGUAUUGGCUGGUAUUGAUGCUUUUGCCUUAACAGUGACAAGGAUUCACACAAACUGUUUAGUGAUAGUUGUUUCCAGAAGUUGUUGCAACAUGGAGAAUUUUGAUGUCGCAUAUAAAGUUCAUGCUUCUUAGUGAAUUGUUCAGUUUUUCUGUAAAUAUUAUACACCUAGGCUGAUCCUUUAUGGUGCUUCAAAAUCUGUGGAUUGGAGCAGGUGUUCAUCAUGGCGGUGGAAUUUGAAACGAAAGGGAAGCAGCAAGGAGGUGUUCAUUAUGUAAAUGCUGGUGUUCCACGUGUUGUGGAAGGGAAUUUUGACGAAUUACAUCCUGAAUUUGGUAAUCUCACACUCGUAGAGGUUCUUCAAGAUCAGGUGAAUUCUAUAACUGGUGAUAUAUAAAUAGAUAAUGUGGUGAUGCAUCAAGUGUUUAAUGUUUUUUGGGUUCGUCAUUGGUGAAACGGACAAGAAACAUGGACCUGGUCCGAGUCUUUUAUAUGCAUAAUUUGCUAAAUUGAAUGUUUUAUAUGUAGGCUAUCAAAACUCUGCAAUCUCUCUCUCUCUAAACUGUUACAUUUCCUUAAUAUAUAAGAUUCUGUUAUCCAUGAGAGAGAUGAUUAUAACUUAAGGUAAAGACUUUGAAAAAAGAAAAACCAUAGUACAUUCUUUUUAACAUAAAAGCAUUUGAAGCAAGAUCCACCAUACCGGUAUCGGUCGGCGUACCAGUGGCGGGCAGUACCGGUAUGGUACCGGUUUGUACUAGCUCUGUACCGGUCCCGUACCAGUCUGUACCUGUUCUAUAUCGGUCUGUACCGGUCCCGUACCGAUCCCGUUGAAUAGCCGAAUUUUGGAGUUUCACAUACCGGUCCCGUACCGGUCCCGAACCGGUCCCGUACCGGAUUCCACGCUAAUCCGGUACCGGUUCAGGGUAGUACCGGUACGUACCGGCCCAUACCGGCAUACCUUGAUUUGAUGUUUAGAAAAAUGUGAAGAAGCAAAUUUAGGAUAUUUGCUUGCACAAGAAUGUUUUACUAAACUUUGAUUACUUGAUUGUGUACAAAAGUAACAUAUUAGAGAAUGAUCUAUGCUGCCUAAUGUUACCAUAUUGUUUUUUUGAGUUAAAAAUGCAAAAUCACGUAACCUGGAAUGUCUUUUUCUUUCUUGUUGACGAAAGAAUUGAAUUAGGUCGAAUCCCCCUUCAUUAAAUAUGGAGUAAAAGCUACACAUAACCUAGAAUAAGAUUUGCUGUAUUGGUCGGUAUUGGUUCGUACCAUACUGUUCCGUACCAUACCGUACCAUACCGAUAUGUAAUAUGGGGGUCUACUAAUACUCGGUAUGCCAAACCGAAUACUGUAUCAAAUGUACUAAUUGUGAGGACCUAUGUGGGUGUGUGUUUAGUCCCAGAUUAGUUAUUUGCUUGGUAGAUCUUGAGUACUUAUACAGAAUCAAGAAAUCCAAAUAAUACCUUCUGGCUUGCCAUUUUGGGUGAGAUUCUGCAUUGUUACAAAUGGUAGCAGAGCGAACUCGGCCCAUAAUUUAUGUGGACUAGAGGAUACUGUAGCACGAGUUUAUAGAGGUUGACUACGGAUCGAUUGUAGUGCUUGUGAUUAAAUUUGAAUAAAUUUGAAUUCUUAGCCUGAUGAAGAUGUUAGAACUUGAAGGGAGAGUAUGUAAGGAUCUGUGUGGGCAUGUGUUUAGUCCCACAUCGAUUAUUCAUCAAGGAGAUCUUGAGUACUUAUACAAAACUAAGGAUUCCAAAAAAUUUCUUCUGGAUAGCCUUUUUGGGUGAAGUCUUGGAUUGUUACAAAUGGUAUUAUAGCAGAUCCGACCUAUAGCCCAUGUGGACUAGGAGAUAUUGCAACACGGACUCAUUGAGGCUAACUACGGGCCAAUCGUGGGGCUUGUGAUUAGAUUUGAAUGGAUUUGGAUCCUUAGCAUGAUGAGGAUGUCAGCGCUUAAACGAAAGGAGUAUGUGAGGAUCUGUAUGGGCGUGUAUUUAGUCCUACAUCAGUUAUUCGCUAGGCAAAUCUUGGGUACUUAUACAGGAUCAAAAAAUUCAAAAAAUACCUUCCGGCUAGUCUUUUUGGGUGAGUUUCUGGGUUGUUACAAAUGGUAACAAAGCGAACUCGGCCCAUAGUUUAUGUGGGCUAGGAGACACUGUAGCACUGUUUUAUAAAGGCUGACUAUGGACCGAUCAUGGUGCUUGUGAUUAGAUUUGAAUAAAUUUGAACCUUUAAUCUGACGAGGAUAUUAGGGCUUGAAGGGAAGAGUAUGUAAGGAUCCGUGCGAGCGUGUGUUUAAUCUUACAUUGCUUAUUCGCAAAAGAGAUCUUGGGUACUUAUACAAGACUAAGAAAUCCAAAAAAUACCUUCUGGCUAACCUUUUUGGGUGAAGUUCUGGUUGUAGCACAGGCUUAUUAAGACUAACUACGGGCCAAUCAUGGUGCUUAUGAUUAGAUUUGAAUGAAUUUGGACCCUUAGCCUGACGAGGCUAUCAAAGCUUAAAUGGGGGGAAUAUGUGAGAACCCGUGUGGGCAUGUGUUUAGUCCCACAUUGGUUAUUCGCUGGACAGAUCUUGGAUACUUAUAUAGGAUCAAGAAAUUCAAAAAAUACAUUCCGACGCCUUUUUGGAUAAGUUUUUUGAUUGUUACAAAUAGUAUUAGAGCGAACUCGGACUAUAGUGUAUAUGGACUAGAAAACACUGCAGCACGGGUUCAUAGAUGCUGACUAUGGGCUGAUGGUGGUAUUUGUAAUUGGAUUUGAAUGAAUUGGAACUCUAAGCCUGACGUGAACGUCAGGGCUUAAAGAGGGGGAGUAUGUAAGGACCCGUGCAGGCAUGUGUUUAGUCCCACAUUGAUUAUUCGCCGAGAAAAUCUUAGGUACUCAUACAAGACUAAGAAACUCAAAAAAUACGUUUCGGCUAGCUUUUUUGGGUGAAGUCCUGGGUUGCUACACUAACACUAUAAUUGGAUUGUACCGGUUUGGGGUAUGGUACCGAGAUGGCGAACAUUGACCUAAAGCAUCUAAUUUUACAUUUAAUCUAGAUAUAACAUUACAAAGAAUAGGAAGUGCAAGAGCAUCUAUCAAUUAUUCAUUUAUUUCUGGAAAUGAUUAGAGCCUAGCAUGUAUGCUUUUUGCUAAAGGAAUAAAAUGAAAUGCAAAAGUGGAUCUAUGUUUUACUUUUACUGGCCUUCUCCAGUGAGCCUCUAGAUGGUAUUGGAGAGUAGCAUGAGGCAAAGCGAGCAUAAAUGAACCUUCACAAAUAUUAUGCUGUAGCAUUUCUUGCUCUAUGAAAAAUAGAUCAGUAUCUUUUAACUUUCAUUUGUUUUAAUGAUAUAUCUCAUAAAGUGUCUUUUGAAUUUUACACUUCUAAAAAAGAUCAGUUUUAUUAGACAAUAGCCUUUAAGUUAAAAUCUCAGGUUUUGCGAUGGCUAUGUUCAACUAGGUGUAUAAUUGAUCCUUAAUUAGUAAUCAAAACUGGCAUAUGAUAUUUUCUAGUUAGCAUAUAAAUUCUUAAAUUAUUUUGGUUGUGAUUUUACAUAAUAAUAAGUUAAGUUCAACACUCCUUAGGAACAUGUGAGACCAAAGAGUGCAGAGCAGUCCAACAACGUUUGGUUCGGCGCGUACUGAGCCAUGUCGGCAGUGGACUGGGACGGUUCUAGCAUUCAAAACAAGAAAUUGCCGAAGGAGGGGGAGAGGGAGAAGAAAAGAGAGGAAGAGAGAAAGAGCGGGAGGGAGAGGGAGAGGGAGGGAGGACUCCGCCCUCCGGACUCCUGUUUCGUUGAAAUAGAGGUCCAGGGGGGCAGAACCCAUCCUUCAUUCUUUCUAUGCCACUNNNNNNNNNNNNNNNNNNNNNNNNNNNNNNNNNNNNCCCUCUCUCCUUUUCUUCUCUCGCAUUCUUUCUCUCCCCACCCUCUCUGCUGUGUCGAGUUGUGCUCCGCCAGUCUCUACCGGUCUUCACCAUCUCUCUCCCUCCCUUCUUCUCUUCCCUCUUCCUCUCCCUCCCUUUUUCUCUCUCUCUCUCUUUUCCUCUCUCCCAUUCUUCCUCUCCUCCGCCCUCUCUACUAUGUCGGUACGGGCUCGGCAUGGAAUGACACGAGGGCACACCGAAUUGUGCCGCCGGCCGAUUGUUAUAGGCCCAAGUAUUAGCACAAUGAUCCUUGUGUGAUAUUGUUCAAUAACUUACUAUUUACUCACAAGAAGAAGAUGCCUCUCUAUAUUCUAAAUGCUAAAAGACAAUAUUGAUUGAAAAAUUAACUAGCAUUACCAUUUAGAUCAACUUCUAUUUGAUGGAUUACUAUUUUAUGUAAUUUGGAUGAUUUAAUGCAUCGUAUCUAGAGGAAAGCUAAACAUAUCAUCUAUUAUGGUUUCGUAGUUAGCAACUUAGCAAGUCAUUAUCUUGUUCGGGACAUUUUCUUCAAUGAACUUUUAUGUAUGAUUGACGAACAUAACAAUUUGCCUAACCACAUUAUGUUUUGCCAAGUCCAGUGAUUCUUGUCAUAUAGUUUUUCUUUUAAAAUUUUAAUUGGGAACUUAAUGACCUCUAUUUCCCCUAAAUUUUUAUUAUAUUUUUGAAAAAUAUGCAUUUUAUUUCUAUACAUAAUACAUGAGUGGUGUGAGUUCAUUUACCCUACAAGUAAAAUCUUGAAACAAACCUUAAACUAAAUCUCUAGUAAUGGCAUCCUUCAUAGUGUUUUUUCCUUCUCUUUUCCUGUUUGCAGGAUCAGAAUCAGAAAAAAGCAGCAUCAUAAUUUACAUUUUUUGUACUUGGCACAGUCCUCAUCUAAGCCUUUAAAAGUUGUUCAUAUAUGGUCGGUAUAAUAAGAUACAAGCUUUUAUAUACCAUGACAUUGCAAUCACAUGAGUUAAUACCAUAAUCACUGAAAGUUGAUAUUUGGUUCAGUUAGUGGACGCUUUUUUGUGAAUUUGCUGCCAUUCUAUGCAGGAAAGUGUAUAUCAGUCACUCCAGAGAAAUGAUGCUCAGAGUGAUCUACCCAAAGCUUCAAGUAGUAAUUCUAAACAGAAUCAUGAUCAUGGCCAAAGCGGUGGGGCGGGGAGCUCUUCAGAGACCAUAAAUGUUGAUUCACAAUUAGCAGCAGAUGAAGCUUUAGCGAGGCAAUUGCAAGAGUUCGAGAAUUUACAUGUUGAUACUUCUUUCAGUGAAUUCACUGGAACAGAAGCUGGUAAACCAUAGCAGUUUUUAAAUUUCAGGCUAUUGAGGUUCUCAUUGACAUGUUAAUUUGUUUAUUAUAAAUUUAUAUGCAAUAUUUAAAUAUGUUUUAUUCUGCAUACUUUUUUAUGCUUCAGUUUUGAUUUUCCAUAAUGACCAGCCAAUGCCUUUGCUGUCCGGGAUCAUAUUGGCUACCAUUCUUCAUACAGUUUAUGUUUGGGGCAACCUAAGGUUCUAUAUUAAGUAUGUCUAAUAAGUUUAUCUAACAUGUCAAAUUCUGUGUCAAUCAAUUUGUGGCGAAUAUGCAAAAAAUUAUGGAAACAAGUGCACUUUAGAAUUUUUCUCAUUUUCUUAAUAAAAUAUUUAAGGUUUCUACAAUACCAUACUUAGGAGAAUUGCUAUGUUUUUACAGAUCUUCUGGUUACCAAAUUAUAAAUAUUAUACUUAAAAUAGUCACUAUUCUGUUUUGAGUUAUACAUUCAUAGUUUUGAUCAAGGUUUUAAGCCUCAGUGGGGCUGAGGGUGUCCCAGCUAUCCUAUCCUAUUCCUAUGAGAAAAUGAGAGCAGGACGGGGUUAGGACUCCAAAAACCAUCCAUGUAGGGAGACAAGAAGGAAUAGGAAAGAAAGGGAGGAAGGAAAGAUGAAGAAAAGGGAAAAGUGAAAGGAAAGAAGAAGAAGAUAAAGGAAAGAUAAAGAAGAAGAAAAAGGAAAAAAAUAAAUGAAGGGAUAAGAAAAAGAAAGAAAAGAAAAGAAAGGAAGCUAGAAGAAAAAGAAAAGAAGGAAAGAAAGAAGAAAAGGAAAGAAAAAAAGAAAGGAAAGAAAAAGGGGAGAGCGACGGAGGAUAUCUACCAAGAUGCAUGACCAGGACCUCUGCCGGGACAGGGCGGGAUAGCAGGAUGUCCUGUUCCAUAAAGAAACUAGGACACCUCCGUCCCACGGGAUUUAAAACCUUGGUUCUGAUUAUGACCAUUGGAUAGUUAUGGCAAUUCUAAUAUUAUUUGAUAAUGGUCUUUUAAGGUAUAACUCCUGCAGAAUCUUCAGUAGUCAAUAGUGAACCAAAUUCUACCAACGUGCCUGAUGAGGUAAAUUAUUCUCAAGCAUUAUUUCUUUUACAUGUUUUCUGCUCCAAAUGGUUUGCAUAUCUGAAAUUGUGAACAUGUGAUUGUGGAUAUGCAGGAAACCAGGCAAGAUAAUGUAGACCCAGAUAAUAUGACUUAUGAGGUGUGUUUGUCAGAAAUUUUAUGAUAUGAUCUCCUUUUGAAGAGAACUGCAAUCAGUAUUAAACCUGCAAAAUGAGUACUUAAUCUUUAUUAAUUAGAUGUAGCGUUCAGUUAAUUUAAGUUGACUAACUAGGUAUAAUCUUAAGUCAGUUUAAGUUUUCUUAGACCUUUCUUAGUUUUGAUAGAAAAAUUGAUUACAUUUUGAAAUUAUUACUAUGCUAUCCUAUAUCAUGCUGAAAACAGAUAGAGAUCAGCACAGUGAAAGAGAAACAAAAGCAUGAAGUUAGUAGACUUCCUCUGAGCUGGAGGUUUCAUUGUGGAGACAUUAUAUUCUCCACGUCUGACUCAUAAUUUGAGUUUAUGCAAUCCUUUACAUUUCAUGUGCUACGAAUCCUGAUUGCAUAGCUCAAGAUGCAGAUAGAUUUUUGAGAAACAUGUACAGAAAGUAGUAAAGGAGAGAAUAUAUAGAUGUGAUGAACCUAAUUAACCUAACUAGUGAGUCAAUACGCAAGGAUUUGUUUCCGAAGUUUGGUAAAUAUUUUUUCACAGAGGAAGUGUGAAAUGAUACAAAGUAGUCCAUUUACACAAAAGAUACUCACAAAAACAACUUUGACCUAGAGGAGAAGAAACCAAAAUAAACUAUUGGUUAGCUGCAAUGGAGGUGGUAUGUAAAUCCAGAAGGAGGUCUAGGUGUGAAAAAAUUAAAAGACUUUAACAUGGCUCUUCUAAGAAAAUGGUGCUGAUGGUAUGUUCUGGAUGAUAUGCACCAUGGAAAGCUUGAUUAAGAACCUCUAAUACAGAAGUUUGGUCCAAGGUAUAGGAAGUCCAUGGCCAACUAGUCGUCCUUACGGAGAGACAUCAUCCAAUCGGCACGUCCAAUGUGUAGAGUGGGACUCAAACUUGGUAAAGAGAAGUGCAUUAAUUUCUGAGUCAAAGAAUCACUUGCAUGUGCAUCUAAUAUCAAUUACAAUUAGUGCACAAUGUCAAAAAUUGAAAAUUUACUGUCUCUAAUCAUGUCGUAGUUUUGUAUUUCCUCAUAUUAUGAUACUUGUUUGUGAUGGAUUGUCUUUGCAUUACUGGAGCUUAAAGCACCACACGUAUAACCUAAGAAUUGAAAAAUCACUCCUUUAUAUGCUGUAUCAACCAAUGACUAGUGCACUCUGUCCUAGUACACCUCGGUUUGGUGAACCAGGCCCCUAUAUCACACUGUGUCCAGCCAUGCUGACUCAUAGAUGUAUCAACUCCAUUUUUGCUCAUUUGCAUAAAGCCAGGCCAAUCUCUGUACAAUAUUGGCAAGUGACCAGUAUGCGUCCAUAUAUUGACUUUUAAAUCCUUGGUGUAACCAGAAUCAGUAGCCAUCCUUAACAAAGAGGAAAUAUAAUCAUUUUCUGAUUUCACUGAAAAAGACUUUUGACAAAUAGUAUGCAUAUAUGUGCAAUAUGUGUACCCUGUUAAUGAUUACAGGUUUAUCAUCUCCUUCUGUUGCUGGUUGGUUUCAAAUCUAAAGUGCAUCCAACAAUUAAGUUAUGAUUAGAUGUAUGGCAAUUGAUUUCUUUUAUACAUAUCUUGGUUUGCUGUUAUGUAUCUCUCUUCUCUCUUUUUUUUUGUAAUUCUAGGAAUUGCAAUCACUGGGGGAAGCCAUAGGUAGUGAAGGCCGAGGGUUAUCAGACGAGCUUAUAUCCUACUUGCCAUCUUCAAGAUACAAAACUGGGUUCUUUUCAAGAAAAGGCAAACAUGAGGAGUAUGUUUUGCUAUGCCCUUUUGCUUAUAACAUGGUACCUUAUGUUUUUCAGCAAGAUAUGCUAACAUAUUGUAACCUGGUGUGCUUUGCUUUCAUAAUUUGGAAGUUCACUUUUGUUGAUUUAAUCAUCUCGGUUAUAUGAUUUUGGCUCCAAUGCUGUUGUUCACCGAGAUGUAGCAUAAUUAUUUUCUGUAUCGUUUAAGGGACCUUAGAUAAUUCUCCAUUUGCCAUAAUUCUAGUGUUGUAAGGGGAGAUUGUUAAGUGCUGCUGAGUUGUAACAUCCUAUUUUACCAAAUUUUUGUUGGCUGUGGUGCAACUCCAUGGAAUCAUCAUCUGCAAUUUUAGAAAUAUGGCUUAUGUCCAUUGUGUGACUCGAAAAUAGUCAGAACUAGUGCCCGCAACUCGAAUUAAACACACAGCAACAAUACAAUUUUUUGGCUUCCUCAAAUGGUAUCAGAUCCAUUGUUGGGUGGCUCAGAUUUCUUCAAACAAUGAUAUCCUUUUCAUUUCAUCAUGAAAUGAUGAGCUUGGUACAACAUUAAUUUCACAAAACAAUGAGAAUCUAGAUAUCCAAUUCUCAGCUGCUGAUGCAAACAUCUAUACCUCUCCUCUGAUGGCAAAGUAGGUGGCUGGGAUCUGAAGCUAUAGUCUUUUGAGGCCCAACUGGCUUAGCUGGAAACUGACUUAAACAACCAAUAAAAGAUGCUUUACAUUAAUUGUUCUGUAGACCAGUAGGUUGGUGAUCAUGAUGUUCCAUUUUAUUUCAUGUAAUAUUUUUAAUUGAGAGUUUGACAUGCAAAAUUCAAGAACAAAAAUUUUAUUCUUCUCUUCGCAGUUUAUUUAAAAAUGUGUCAAGCUUUGACACAGGUACUGCAUAAGGAUCCUCAUGCAUAGCAGGCAUUUAAUGUACAUAUUUCAAAAUGGAUGGAAUGAACAAUUGUAUCUUCACUCACUAUUGCAAUUUUCAAUUGCAAUUUCCAUCAAGAAGCAUGUCUUCAAGCAUAUGCACAAAGUCAGAUCCAAACUUCCUAGGAAAAAACAAAACAACAGGAGAUGUUUAAGUCGACAUACCAUGUCAAUAGCCAGCUAGAGAAUCAAUGGUUAAUUACCAGCCACCUUCUGUAAGAACUGUAUCCAAUGUUAUUGUCACCAAGGAAUCUUUCCAGAUUUGUUCUUCUAGUUGGACCUGGCUUUUGAAUUUUGUCAUAUUGAACUCCCUGAAGUUCUCCCAAUUUUUUUGGGUUCUUUGUUUCAGUACCCAUGAGAACCUUUCUAUAUUUAUUUUGCUUCCUCGAGGAGUUCUCACCUAUAUUCGUGAUUUGUGUGGUUUUCCACAUGCAUUUGGAGGAGGCAAAAUUGAAAAAGGAUAUGAGCAAAUUAAUAGAAAACUGAUUGAGAUGAUUUGAAUGUAUGCAAUGUAAUUCUGAACUUGUUGUAAGAAGAGGAGCUUGAGGAUCUAGGAAGAGGAAGACCUAAGGUAACAAUAUUGAUUGUUUUGAGGAAGGUUUUGGAAAGGCUCACAAUAAUAUCAAAUGUAGCUCUUAAUAGUGUGAUUGGAAAACGAAAUCAUAUAAUUGACCCCACAUAAUUUUGAGAAGCCUUUGUUGGUUAUGACUAUGUAGAAUGCUAAAAUAUAACUAGGUAUUUUUUGAGUUUCUUAGUCCUGUACAAGUACCCAAGUUCUCCUCGGCGAAUAACCGAUGUGGGACUAAACAUACACUCGCACGGGUCCGCACAUAUUCUUUGCACUUUCUUCAUAGCAAUAUUAAUUAGCUACAUUUUCUUUCUCUACUGUGUUAACAAGACUUGCGAAAUUGUUAUUCAAAUUGCUACCAGAUUGCUCAUAAUAGGGCGUACUUGUAUAUUGUCUAUAUUCUACUUACAUAAUGCAUAAGUAGGCUAUAAAGCAAUGUAAAUGUUACAUGCAAGCAACAUUUCAAAUCUCAAUUGUUCUGUUCCAUAUUGACCCCAUAUCGUGCAUUGUACAACCCCUAUUGACACUGACAUAUCAUCUGGUUCAAUGAACUAUGAGUAGAUACAGAUGGCAUGUGAACAUUGCGGAGGCAUAUUACGAGAUAAAGAAACCUUGUAUAGGCUAUAUCUCUCAUUGAUAGACUAUUUUAUUUUAGUAAUCUAUUCAAUUCUUACUCAUGAAGUUCUAGUUUAUAGUUCCAAGGUUCGGAGCACUGGUGCAUAGCACCUUGUACUAAGCAUACUGCACUAUAUUGGUACGGAACCAAUACUCGGUGCAAGGACAAAUAGAGUGUUGGUAUGCCAAACCAAUCCCAUAUUGGGUGUGCCAACAUUGAUACCGGUACAAGGCCGACACUGAAAUGCAAACCUUGGUUUAUAAAUCUUGCAAAAGCAUAUGAUUACAUAAGCUAUCAGGAUGGAAAGUUCAGAGAAUAUAGAUAAACUAGAAAAUUUGAUACCAUGGCGCUGUAAAUAUCUGUAUGACCAGAUCACAUCCAUACUUUAUUUAUUUAUGUGAACAAGAAAAUUCACAUUUGUGCUUUAUGCAGAAUCUUGUCAUAUCCAUGAAUAUUUUGGCUUAACUUGGCCUACAAAAAUUUUGAUAAUGAUGAGCAUAUAUACUUUUAAAGAAAACAGAAGCAAACAUGAAUCAGCAAAUAACUGCAAUACCAUAUGUCUGCAACAUGGCUUACUUUGAUAAACAAAAGGAAUGAAAGAAUGCUUAAGAAACUAAGGCAGAAACAACUAAAUGUGAAGUUUCAUUUUUCAUUUUGAGGAGCUUGUGCUAAAACUGCAGCCUUUUCUUAAUAAUUUUAGGCCUUUUUUUCUUCCUUGUGCUGAUGUUUACGUUCUGUGUGUAGGUGUGUAAUCUGUCAAUCAACUUACAAGAACCGAGACAAGUUGAUCACCUUGCCCUGCAAGCAUUAUUAUCAUUCAAAAUGUAUAAGCCAUUGGUUGAAGAUCAACAAGGUAAUAUUCAUGUUGAAUAUGAUUUCUGUCACUUAUCAUUUCUAAGUCAACUUUUUCUGUGCUUUCUUAAAGGCUUUUCUUUUUCCUCUCAAAUUUCCAGGACAUGAUUUUCUACAUAUAUUUUGACAUACUUGAUACUUCCAAAUGUGCUUUUAUUAAGCUGAUUAGAUGAAAGUAACAAUAUUGUAUGCAAAAUCUUCCAAAAGGAAGAACCUUACAAGGAGUUAUAUUGCGACAUCCCAUGUUUUUUUUCUCUUAAAGUCUAUCAUAGGUAACAAGACUGAAACUGUAAUAAACUGAAUUAUCUGUCUAAGUUUUGACUACUUAGUUAAGGCUAUAUCAGGUCAGAUAAAAACCCAACAAUGGUACUGGUAUUUAGACUUAGAUUCCAAGCUCCAAUAUGUAUAGAUUCUUGGAACCCUUGAAUUCUAACUGCAACACAAGGAGUGUGUGAGAAACAAAGAAGACAAAGGAAUCCAAAAGCAUCAAUAAUCAUUACCUUCUUUAUUGGUAGUAUCAUUUCAACUUGCCUAACAAACUAGUUAACCUAUCCUACAAAAUCUAUUGUAAUUGUAAGUGAUUUUGCAAGACAACUUAUUCAGUCUUCAAUGACUAUGUUUUCGUUUAGGCCACUUAGAGCUGCAAUUGUCCCUGUGAAAUAAAAAAAAAUAAAAAAAACUUUGGCCAUUUCCCCAACUUGUAGUAAAAUGACUAACCUCUCUCUAACUCAAGUAGGUUUCAAAAAUUGACAUAAAAAUUUUCUAAUGUAAGAAUAUGGAUAAAUACCGGUCAUACAAAGCUAAUGGCAAAACUGUUCAAAAGAUGGAGCUUCUAUCUGCUAUGAAUGACUUUAAAAUAAGAAAAAUAAAACAACAAAGUCAGAACAUGCGGCCAAAAAGUAAAGUAUUGCUUCUUUAUAAGAUAACUGCAAGUAUUACUAUUCUAAUGUCUACUGGAAUUAAGCAGAGAACAUAUUAGUUUAGACAUCGUUAUGUCUAUGAAUUAAGACCAUCAUCCACAUGCCUCAAUCUUGUAUACAUGAGAUUGCUUGAACACGUUCUUGUCCCAUGUCAUAAUAUUAGUUUUUCAACAUGUGAAUGCAUAUGAAAAUACAUUUCAUUUGGUUUGUAUUAAUAAUAUUUCAGUAUUGAUUAGUGUUAAACAGCACAACUGGUAAUGCAGAAAGAUAUACUUAUUCUUAAGAAAUACAGUGGCCUUAUAUAUCAAAGCCUUCUUUUGGUUAAACUCUCUGUUUCUCCGUAACAAGUGGUAUCAAAGCCGAUAGUUGAUGAUCAUAGAUAACUCUCGAAACUAUAAAGGUGCCAAAAUUGGUGACUUAUGAAAAACGUUUGCAUGAUAGCUAGUAAAGUAGAAACAUGGUAGCUGCAGUGUGCCGAGUUGAUGCAGCAAGUAGAUUUGAUGGAGCAAGGCACUGGGUUUGAGCGUGGGCUUGGGAUUGAUUCUUUUAAGAGCUUAUAGGAGUAUGGUGAAAUGUGGAGUUUGGAGUGUAGGCAAUUCUUGGGUUUAAGCGGUAACACAUUGUAGUGAACUAUAGCUCUUGGAGAGUGGGCUAUUGGACUAGAGCAGUAACACGUGCUGCACUUAAAAGAGUAAUUGGGCUGAGGAUCACAUUUGAGGUUUAGUUCUACAUAGGAUAGUUAAUGGGAGGUAGAAGGCUUGAUAUAGAUGAUUAGGCUGCAGCUUGCAUAUCAAGGUUUUGGUUUGAUUUAAACUCCCCAUUUUUCUCCAACAUUCUUGACCAUGUAGAACUAGAAUUUUUUAUCUGAAUAUUAUGGAUUUUGACCCACUAACAACUUAACACUAUCGUAUACUUGGAAAUGAAUCUGAGAUAUCGUUUUUCACCCCACGUAUUUUAAAAUUUAAGAUUCUUGUUGCCUAUUUUAACAGCUUUUGACAAGUAAAACAGGAACUUGUUUACUUGUCUUAUGGCUAGAAUAGAUAGCCAUUCAUAUUUCUCUCAAAAAUAGCCAUCCAUAUAGAAGGAUGGAACUAUAGGGAUUUAGUCACCAAGAGAUUCCAGUUGACCUGUCCUUAUGUAGUUAACAAGGGAACCAAUGAACUGUAAGCUAGAGAAUGAAUGAAUUAACAACUUUAAAUUGCAUGUCACAAUUACUAGAAAAUGAAAUAGCAUGAUAUGGAUUGGAUCUAUUCACCAUAGUCAAAGGCAUGCAAAAGCAUACAGUUGUAUGCCAAACCUUCUAGCAACCUUGAGACUCUUAAUACAAGUUUAUUUCUCCUAUAUCUCAUGUUUUUAAAACUGAGGGUGAAGAAUAUAAAAAUAGGAGCCAAAAUAUAAUUGUAUUGCAACAAUCUAUUUCUGGGAAAGAUGGCUACGGUAGAUACUAUAUUUGCUAUGUAAUCAGUUGUUUCUGCAGUUUUAUAAAAGGAAAAAUUAAUUGCAGAUUGUUGAAUGGACUCAAAACUCUUAUUUCUAUUGAUACUUAUAAAACAAUGCCUAUAUAGUAAUGGUAACAGAUAUGUGUUGAAUUAAGAGACUUUUUCUUGUCUCUGUUGGCCAAUUGCUGGUAAACAUGCAUGCAUGUAUGUGCGUGCACCACCACACACAAGUGGUGUUAUUCUUUAGUUUCAUUUAGCUCACAUGCUUUUCAUGUGUGAGGUUCUUUUAUUUAUUGGUAGUGGAGUUCCAUUGUAUUUCUAAUGCUCUCAUAUAUUUGUAACAUUUCACAUACUCUGAGCCUUCAGUAAAAUGGUUGAAUCUUUGUCUCCAUGUUGCUACUGAACCAGGCAUGCCCAGUGUGCAAUGAGGAGGUAUUUGGGUGAAGGCAGUGCCCAACUAGAAAUGUUCUGAAUGAUCUGGCAAUAAAUGAUUCUCUUCAUCUAAAAGACUUGGUUAAACAUGCUAAUGUAUAUUUCCUGUCAUGAUGUCACAAGAGCCGAUGAGUUAUGAAACUGAAAUAAUCUUUUAGUAUGUAAAGGUCAAUUUAUAUAUCAUGCUUUAUAUGGUAGAAAAAAGAAACCCAGAAAGAUUAAGGUUAGCCAACUCGGUAUUGGACUCUGUAUUGGUAGUAACCAGUAUGUAUGGUACCAGUACCAUACUAUACCUACUAACUAGUAUUUGACUGAAACCACUCUCAAUUAUUAUGGCGGAAGGGUUAAUUAGGCCCAAGCGAGGCCCUUAUUGGGCUGACCCACCCGAACCACGGUUCCGAGUGGUUUGGCCCUCUAAGGACUAGAACCGAGUAGUUUGUGUCUCAUACCAUACUGAUAAGUUGGGCCGAACUAAUUACUAUUUUCAUUUGGCUAUACUUGCAACGUAGGUCAUUGUUGUAUCUCUCUUGCAUGUUUCUCAUACCCCACCAUGAACUGCUAGACUUUGUAGUCAAAGAAGUCACCAAAAAAGAUUGCUUCUUUAUUCAUAUUCUUUUUGGCUAAGCUUGGUCCUGUAAUACUGAAUAUUGCACCCCGAAGGCGCACUCAUACUUAGGUCCAAUAACAAAAAUAAAAUAAAUAUCACACACAAAGAAAGCAAUAUUUAACAUGGUUCAACAAACUUCUGCCUCCAUCCAUGGAUGAGAAGAGAAUAUUCAUUUUACAUUUAGGAAAAACAAUAUGGGAAGAGAUUAAAAAACCAACAUCAAAAGAACAAAUCCUAUUUUUCUCUUCACAUACCCAAUUAGGUUUAAGAUGUACUAACAGGGAUCUCACGAACCAAUUCUGACAAAUUUCUAAGAUAAACUAAAUGUUACCAAUUUUCAUGGUGCAGAGCUUUUUGGAAUAAACCUGCGAUCUGCCUCCUCUCUGACUUAUCGAGGGUUAUCUUCUCUUUAAAUAAAUCUAGCAACCAUCUUCCACAUUGCACCCUCCUCUUCCUUUUUGAUUGAAAAGGGUCUCGAACUCGAGUGGUUUACACAUCUAUGCAAACAACACCAUUAUCUGUCAAAGCAGCCACUUAGUUUCUAUUUCUCUCCACUUGUUCCAUUAUUUUCAAUUCCUCGCACCAACCAAAGGCCUUGAGUUCAUGGACAAUCAAAUUUUUCUUAAAAAGAAAAAAUUAUUUGAUCAGUCCGUUUUAGGCCUAAAUAUCGAAUUUGGCCUCAAUUGCUUGUUGUGCCGAACCUUUAAAGGGUGGUUGCACAUUUUAGAGCUUAAAAAAAUUACCCUUUUUUCUUUAAAGAAAAAGAAUAUCUCAGUCAGAGAUUAUAUAGGCAUGUUAUAGCCUCAGGAUAUUUGGCGCACGAUUUGGCUUUUUAAUAUGGUGGAUCUUACUUCAGGAUCCUAUCCAAUCUCUUUCUAUGAUGGUCAAAAUAUUUCACAUUGAGCCUAAUGAUCCUCAUGUAUUAAAGCUUCCAAGAAAUAUUUAGGAAUUUAGCUCCUACUAAAUUAAAAUUGGAGAUGAGGAAAUGUCUACUUUCCUAUCUUUUAGUUGAACUACUUAACUUUGCUAGCAAGCCGACCCUUUUGGCCGAUUUGAAAAGACUCAAUCCUCCUCCUUUUGUUUUUUGUGACCCUCCCAUCAAUGACACAAUCUAGUUGCCUUUUUUGCUUUAUCCAUAGAGCAUCUAUAGCUGGUAACAUUAGUUCCUAAACUUGGUUUUAUUUGCUCCCGAAUCUCAACAACCCAUUUGCCCCACUUCUGCAUGCAAACUCGCUGCUUCUUGCAUCUUUCCUCAUUGAUGAUGGGGAUGGAACUCUCCCUUGAUCUCCUCUCUUGGUUCUACUGGUCAACCAACCAAGAUUGAGAGGCGAGAGCUUGAUCUCUCAUAAGUAUCAUCAACUUCUCGUAUCAUCUUCAAUUUGAACUUUUUACAGAUAAAUCAAACUAAAUCAUAUAAUACAUCUUAAUCUAAUCAUAUUGACUCGAUACAUUAGUAUAAAUUAUUUGAUGACAAUUAGUUUUAACAAUAUUCACAUACUGACCUAAAACAUUUCAUCUUUCAAUAUUAUACAGAGAAUGAAUGGAUCACUAAAAUUGGAGUAAAAUUAUUCAAGUCUCUAGAUUAUACUAUGCACGUAUUCAUACAUUGAUACAUCAAUCUAUAUACAUGCUAGUGCCCGAAUACCCAAUUUACAUUUUUUGCCCUACUGUCAAUGACUAUUGCUGCAUCUGUCCCCUGCACUAUAUGUCACGUCAUGCUUACCUUUGUGGCAGUGUCACCAUAUUUAACCCUUGUGAUCUGGAUUCUCAAUCAGAAUAGUGAUCAUGCAGCCACACUUAGCCCCUACGACUUAGCUCACCACGCUUACCCUCGUGGCAAGGUCGCCAUAUACAAACCCUAUAGUCUGGGUCAUGCCAUAUUUAUCCUCAUAAUAGGGCACGUAAUCAAGUAUGAUUCUACACGUAGUCAUGCUUGGAGCUAAAUGAUACAUACAUACUGUGAGGACCCGUACGGGCGUGUGUUUAGUCCCACAUCGGUUAUUCGCUAGAUAGAUCUUGGGUAUUUAUACAGGAUCAAGGAACCCAAACAAUACCUUCCGGUUAGCCAUUUUGGGUGAGGUCUUGGGUUAUUACAAAUGGUAUCAGAGCGGAUCCGGCCCAUAACUUAUAUGGACUAGGAGACACUGUAGCACGGAUCCAUUGGGGUUGACCAUGGACCGAUCGUGGUGUUUGUGAUUAGAUUUGAAUGGAUUUGAACCCUUAGCCUGACGAGAACAUCAGGGCUUGAAUGGGGGGNNNNNNNNNNNNNNNNNNNNNNNNNNNNNNNNNNNNNNNNNNNNNNNNNNNNNNNNNNNNNNNNNNNNNNNNNNNNNNNNNNNNNNNNNNNNNNNNNNNNNNNNNNNNNNNNNNNNNNNNNNNNNNNNNNNNNNNNNNNNNNNNNNNNNNNNNNNNNNNNNNNNNNNNNNNNNNNNNNNNNNNNNNNNNNNNNNNNNNNNNNNNNNNNNNNNNNNNNNNNNNNNNNNNNNNNNNNNNNNNNNNNNNNNNNNNNNNNNNNNNNNNNNNNNNNNNNNNNNNNNNNNNNNNNNNNNNNNNNNNNNNNNNNNNNNNNNNNNNNNNNNNNNNNNNNNNNNNNNNNNNNNNNNNNNNNNNNNNNNNNNNNNNNNNNNNNNNNNNNNNNNNNNNNNNNNNNNNNNNNNNNNNNNNNNNNNNNNNNNNNNNNNNNNNNNNNNNNNNNNNNNNNNNNNNNNNNNNNNNNNNNNNNNNNNNNNNNNNNNNNNNNNNNNNNNNNNNNNNNNNNNNNNNNNNNNNNNNNNNNNNNNNNNNNNNNNNNNNNNNNNNNNNNNNNNNNNNNNNNNNNNNNNNNNNNNNNNNNNNNNNNNNNNNNNNNNNNNNNNNNNNNNNNNNNNNNNNNNNNNNNNNNNNNNNNNNNNNNNNNNNNNNNNNNNNNNNNNNNNNNNNNNNNNNNNNNNNNNNCAGGAUCAACAAAUCUAAAUAAUAUCUUCCGGUUAGCCAUUUUGGAUGAGGUCCUAUGUGGACUAGGAGACACUGCAGUACGAUCCAUUGGGGCUGACCACGGGCCAAUCGUGGUAUUUGUGAUUAGAAUUGAAUAGAUUUGAAUCCUUAGUCUGACGAGGACGUCAGGGCUUGAACGGGGGGAAUAUGUGAGGACCCGUACGGACGUGUGUUUAGUCUCACAUCGAUUAUUCGCUGGGUAGAUCUUGGGUACUUAUACAGGAUCAAGAAACCCAAAUAAUAUAUUCCGGCUAGCCAUUUUGGAUGAGGUCCUGGGUUGUUAUAAAUGGUAAUUUUGGGUACUUAAGCUUGUAGGAUAAGUGGUGAUUUGAACAUGGUAUCAGAGCAGAGGUCCUGAGUUCAAAUCUUGUCUCUACACUCUUUAACCCCAUUAUUGUGAGGCCCAAUAGUCCCACAUCGGAAAGACUCGUUCUAGACCAUGGGCAUAUGAGGCGGGUGUCUCCUAAUCCUGCAGACGCGUUUUGGGUAGAAAACAAAAUCGGGAAGGGGUGAAGGAUGCUUGCGUGAAGCCCGGAACCGGACAAUAUCUGGCAGGGGAGCCCCGUGUUCCCCNNNNNNNNNNNNNNNNNNNNNNNNNNNNNNNNNNNNNNNNNNNNNNNNNNNNNNNNNNNNNNNNNNNNNNNNNNNNNNNNNNNNNNNNNNNNNNNNNNNNNNNNNNNNNNNNNNNNNNNNNNNNNNNNNNNNNNNNNNNNNNNNNNNNNNNNNNNNNNNNNNNNNNNNNNNNNNNNNNNNNNNNNNNNNNNNNNNNNNNNNNNNNNNNNNNNNNNNNNNNNNNNNNNNNNNNNNNNNNNNNNNNNNNNNNNNNNNNNNNNNNNNNNNNNNNNNNNNNNNNNNNNNNNNNNNNNNNNNNNNNNNNNNNNNNNNNNNNNNNNNNNNNNNNNNNNNNNNNNNNNNNNNNNNNNNNNNNNNNNNNNNNNNNNNNNNNNNNNNNNNNNNNNNNNNNNNNNNNNNNNNNNNNNNNNNNNNNNNNNNNNNNNNNNNNNNNNNNNNNNNNNNNNNNNNNNNNNNNNNNNNNNNNNNNNNNNNNNNNNNNNNNNNNNNNNNNNNNNNNNNNNNNNNNNNNNNNNNNNNNNNNNNNNNNNNNNNNNNNNNNNNNNNNNNNNNNNNNNNNNNNNNNNNNNNNNNNNNNNNNNNNNNNNNNNNNNNNNNNNNNNNNNNNNNNNNNNNNNNNNNNNNNNNNNNNNNNNNNNNNNNNNNNNNNNNNNNNNNNNNNNNNNNNNNNNNNNNNNNNNNNNNNNNNNNNNNNNNNNNNNNNNNNNNNNNNNNNNNNNNNNNNNNNNNNNNNNNNNNNNNNNNNNNNNNNNNNNNNNNNNNNNNNNNNNNNNNNNNNNNNNNNNNNNNNNNNNNNNNNNNNNNNNNNNNNNNNNNNNNNNNNNNNNNNNNNNNNNNNNNNNNNNNNNNNNNNNNNNNNNNNNNNNNNNNNNNNNNNNNNNNNNNNNNNNNNNNNNNNNNNNNNNNNNNNNNNNNNNNNNNNNNNNNNNNNNNNNNNNNNNNNNNNNNNNNNNNNNNNNNNNNNNNNNNNNNNNNNNNNNNNNNNNNNNNNNNNNNNNNNNNNNNNNNNNNNNNNNNNNNNNNNNNNNNNNNNNNNNNNNNNNNNNNNNNNNNNNNNNNNNNNNNNNNNNNNNNNNNNNNNNNNNNNNNNNNNNNNNNNNNNNNNNNNNNNNNNNNNNNNNNNNNNNNNNNNNNNNNNNNNNNNNNNNNNNNNNNNNNNNNNNNNNNNNNNNNNNNNNNNNNNNNNNNNNNNNNNNNNNNNNNNNNNNNNNNNNNNNNNNNNNNNNNNNNNNNNNNNNNNNNNNNNNNNNNNNNNNNNNNNNNNNNNNNNNNNNNNNNNNNNNNNNNNNNNNNNNNNNNNNNNNNNNNNNNNNNNNNNNNNNNNNNNNNNNNNNNNNNNNNNNNNNNNNNNNNNNNNNNNNNNNNNNGGGAGGGAGGGGGGAGGGCCUUAUGGCGGGUCUUGCCGGGCCUGGGCCGUAGCGGCCUGGGCCUCACAUGGACAAUGUUCAAGUAACCAGAAAAAACUUUUUAAACAGUCUUCUAAAAAGAUGUUGCUUUUGGUUCUGCUUCAUCAAAGAAUGUAACUAUCAAUAUAUAUACAAAUAGAUGUGGCAGGUACCCACCACCAUCCAAAGAUAAAAUGCAAGAUAAAAGCAUCCAAACGAGUAAUUGUGCCAUAAAGCAGGCGUUUACGUAUGGUUUGUGCAUACGACGACGUUUCCUCGCUUUAAGGUUUCCUCUUGUUGGUGGUUAGUCUGUGUCCUCGGAAAAAGCUUAUAGCUGAAUGUGAAUCAAUCUUUCUGAAAAACCUUUUGUAAUAGUCCUCACCUAUUGAAUCAAUCGCAAUUUAGUGGAUCCAUGCCUUUGGGUGUGUAGGUGACCAACAGAAGCCAUUAAGAGAGUGAAUGAUAUAAAAGAUGUAGCAGAUUGAGAGGACCGUAAAAAUUCUUGCUAUUAAAAUCUUAGUGGUUACAUUGGAAUUUUAAGUAAUUAUAUUUGUUAAGUUCUGACGAAAAAUCAUAUUUUAGGAAAGUCACUAGUGAUAUAAUACACAAGUAUUUCAUAUUUUAUGAAGUUAAAGGUUCAGAUAUCAUUUCAAAAUAAAUUUAUAAUACGAUAAUUUAUAGAAAUCCUUCUUACUUAAAUUCCUGCUAUACAACUAAAUUUGAUAAUAUGCUCGGCUUUGCUAGAAUUCGCUAUCCAUGUCAGAUACCUUGCCCUAUAUUUUUUCCAUUGAAAUCUAAAAAUAAUUAGUAGGUGCUACUGCGAGAUAUUUUUUUACCGACAGCACAUCAAUAAGGACCUACCAAGUAUACCUAUAUGUACUAUGAACUGUAUAAUUUGUCGUCGUGUCCUACUUAUGGAUGAGAACUUAUACGAGGCCUACAUGAUUAGCUAUUCUAUCUUGCAUGACAAAUAGAUAUUAGAGGCCGAUAUAAACAUGCACAUCUAGCACAAGUUGAGUAGGCUAAUAAAGUAUCAAACAUGUUGGAAAAUAAUCUAUAUGCUAAAAUGUUAUAAAUAUCUUUUAUGGAAAUUUAUUGUUUUAUCUUCAAUAUUUAAUUAAUAGCUUUCUACACAUACUAAAAAAUAAAUUAAUUUUGAUGUUAUCCGAUUUGAGACACACUAUGAAAGGCACUUCCUUGAGAGUAGAAUUCGUCUUGCACAGGUGCAAACAAUAAAAUUAAUUAAGUGCACUCUAACAAACGAGAAUCAAGGUCGAACCCAAACUAGCUAAAUCCAAAUACAUUGAAAAUCAACAAAUUUGAUUGAAGCAAUUUUUCUUAAUUCUCUUAUAUAUGAAUACAAUUCUCUUCUCAAAUGCUUAUUGGGUACACUUGCGUUCACCUAUUUAGUGCUCUCAAUUCUCUUUUCUAAUUUGGAGUUAUUCAUAUGGAAAGGAGAUAUUCUGAUGGAUGGAAAGUAUGAUCCCUUUCCUAUUUAUAGAUAUGAAAGGGUGAGUAUGAUUAAAUACUUAAGUAUCCUUUCGUUGAAUGCAUCCCUUCACAUAAUUUAUCCAUUCAUCAAAAAUUGUGUCUCUUGGGAUCACCAUUAAAUCAGAUGCGUCUUUUCAUGAGAAUGCAUCUUUUAAUUUACAGAAGUCUUUCGAAGAAUCCGUUUGAAAAGCAUCCCUUCAUGAUAUCUUAUGAAAAGAGAAAGUGUCUCUACGCUUCUUUUUAAGAUACCGCAUAAGAAAUAAUUAAAAGUGUAUAUGUAGAAUUUCUAUAAAAUUUUAGGUGAGGAGAGAGAUAAAGAGAGAAAAUUAAAUCUUAUCUAUAUAGAAAAUGAAGUUAUUCGGGUGUCUAAGAUAUUUUUUAUAUUUAACUAGGUUUAUGUUUUUGAUAAAUAUCCAAUAUGAAAUUCAAAAAUCUCAAAAUUUUGAAUUAAAUAUUUUAUUAAUAAACCAACAAAACACUGAUAUCAAGCAUGACAUAUUAGACUGCACCAGCUGAGCUGACCAAACAGUACACUAGUGUUCUGUGGUUCAGUCUACCAAAGCCAGCAUCCUUGUCAAGAUUGAUGGCCAACUUGACUAAGAUGUUUGAGACCAGAUGUCCCGGUUCUUGAACAAAUACAUCAUAGAAGCAUGCAUUGAUCGUCUAAAUUAAGAAUUGUGACUCUACAUGCAAUGUUAAUUGGUUAAGAUAUUUAAAUAGAUUGCUGAUGUACGUAGUAUGCUAGCUGUUUUCGUUUGAAAUGUCGAAGAUGGAAUAGAAUUUGAAAAAAAAAAAAACCUACUUUGGGAUCACAUCCAAGAAAGUAAACUAGAGAUCCAUGAUGUUCAGCAACUAUAUUACAUGAAAAUCAAUUUAAAGCUGUAACCAGUAGUUUGAUCUAAUAACUAAAAUUUUUGUUCAAAAAAAAACAAGCAUUAAAGCGUAUGAUGGUGAACGUUCAGAAAGAGAUGUUUUUGGCUCCACUGGGUUUUCAGAGCCAACCGUCCUGAGCACAAUGGUGCAAUUGUAACAAGUUGUAGGGAGCUAAGAAGUUUCCGAACGUUACUUCUUACAUCCUGUCAUGUUUUCAAGUGGGCUUUUCAAUGGUUAGCUUGCCUCAGUUCCCAGCAAUCCAGAGCUAUCCAUAUGAGAGCAUUGUUUCUUUUUCCUGACUGAUUCUGAAGUGGCUGGCCUUUUGUUGUGCAAGUGGAUUUACAAAGACAUGCACUGUUGAUUGUUAUGAUGGUAGAAUAUUAUGUAUGUGUUCGAUUCGCAAAAUAUAACUUCAGCAAAAACCUUUUGAAUUAUUGAAGUGAUGGAAUCAGGUAAAUCCAUUUCAGACCUGUAAAAAAUUAGAAUGGUAAUGGAUAUUAGGUUAUGAGGCCGAUUAAAUGAUUAGGAAUUGUAGCAAGUCAUUAGUAAAUGUUGAGAGGCAACUUGAAUCUAAACUUUAAAAGCUUUAGAAUCUCUAGGUCAAAGUCUGCAAUAUUUGGCUUAGGCGCUUAGCAUCAAAUUCUUGUUCAAAAGAACAUGCUCUAGGAUUUUUACGUACCCCCAGUGCUUGGUACAGUAUUAUGUUCAGAGCCCAGUCACUGAUUCAAAUCCAAUUAUUUUUCUGAAUCAUGAAGCAUAAUUUUUGUCAGCAGAAGCUAUGCAGAUCAAAUUCAUCAACUUAAAACACUUCAGAAAUUUUAUUCAGCUGUUCGAAAUAGUAGUGUAUAGUUUGAUUUGGAAGGUGAAGGGUCAUGCCAAAGCAAAGACAAGUUAUAUAUUUCUAGUAUGCAAUAUAAGUUCAUCUCUCUCUCUCUCUCUCUAAGAAAGGAGAAAUCAUUUGAAUGAGUCAGAUGAGGUCCCUUGGUAAUGCAUUUGGUGGCAAUUGGCGAACAAGAUGAUGAGGAUGUGACAGUUACAUGACCCGCUUGCAUGACCCAUCCGCAUUCAUAUCCCUAUCCAUUGCUAUCUCAUUCACCAAUCACUAAUGUGGAUUAAUAGUGGACAUUUAAGAUAAUGAACUUGAUAAAAACUCUUUAAAGAGUAUGUUGGAGGUAAUUAUUAACAACAAUCAAAAAAAUCAAGAAUAGUCUGAUAAAACAAUCAUGAAUAACAUUAGAAGAAUAAUUUAUAAGUAAGAAAUUAGAAAAUAGAAAAACAUAGAUCAGACGCAUUUUAGGCAUUGUUCUGAGAGUGUUCUUGUCCUUUUCAUGCAGGGUGAAGGGCUUUAAUGCUCCCAAGGUAUGAUUGAUCCAAGGCUUAGCCUAGAUUAUCUUUGGCGCAGCACAAGCACAUGGAAGGCUUGACCUGACCAUCUCCGUUAGUUGUCUAAAAUCAAUACUUUGAAGGUAUGCAAAAUCUGGAAAAAGUUGUAGUAGUAGAAGUAAUGGAAAAGGUAGGUGAGUGAAGAGAGCAAAAGGGAGAGAGUUAUUUUUAUCAUGAUUCAAUUUUUUUCCUGGCUACUCCAUUUGAUUGAGGUGCAUAUAUAUGGACAAUUGACCUCAUGUAUGAUACCAUUUCUUGAUAGAAUAAGUUCGAGUCCUUUAAAGUAUAUUCACUGCUUUGAUUAGACCUAAGUUUUUUUUAAUGGUCCUAUCAGUUUGAUUUUCUAAUUCAGCAUUAUAGAUCUCGAAUCAAUCUAGGACUUCAUCCUUGAUUUUUAAGAGAUAAGUAAAUAAUAACAGGAGAAGUCAUCUACGAAAGAUACAGGGCAACCUUUUCUUCCCCUAGUAGGAACCUUAUUUUGAAUCACACACAUCAUGAUUUCAAGAAGCUUGAUAUUUCUAUGAACAGUCUUGAAGGUUUUCUUGGUUUGCUUGGCUUCAGCACAGGUCUCACACUUAAAUUUAGGAUCUAGAUCUGAUAUAGAGAUCAGGUUAAGGCUUAUCAUCCGCCUAAUUUGAUCUAAGUUUGCCUGCCUAGUCAACCAUGCUACACAAGAUAAGAUUCAAGAUCGAAUACAAAAGGAGGAUCUUUAUUGAUAGUCAAAGGAAGUAUAAUGAGUUUGAACAAACCCCACUUAUAGAGCCCUUGCCAACAAAAUAGUUAUUUUUUGAAAUUAUAAUUUUAAUGGACUUAACAACAACCUUAUAGCCUCCCUGGACUAAGAAGGAACCACUAAUAAGACUAUGUCGAACAUUUGGCAUGUAUAGCUAUUUUCCAACAAGUCCCAUUGUGCGUGCCAAAAAGCUUGUUUUGCGACAAGUCCUACCAGACGUUCCAAAAGCUUGUUUGCUCUCAAGUUCCACCGAGCAUGCUAAAAAGUUUGUUUGCACUCUCUUUUUAGUCUGCAUAGAGGCCAAGGUACUAGAAAAACUCGUUCGCUGAUAGAAAGUGGCAACAAGUUUGAUGGCUAGGUUGUGCGUGGCAAUGCCAGUCAAAAAGGAGAUAAAAAGGGAGGAGGAUAAUAAUAGUAGUGUGAAUCUAGGUGUCUUGACUUUCAAAAAUUUUUACUACCGUCACCUCGUCUAUUUGAAAGGAAGAAAUACUAGUGUGCUACUGAGACUACAAAGUACUCUACUGCUACUCCUAUGGCCAAAAAAUCUUUUUUCCAGCAUUACAAUUGAAGAAUUAUAAGCGGUUCCCAUACAAGUGUCACUAUAUGCCAUAUAAGCCACGAUUAUCAUGCAUGAUAGAUAGUGCUAUCACUCCACUUGUGUCCUAGGUAGUGGUAAGAUGGAUGCUACUACUCAAAUUUGACACCUAUCUUUCAUAUUGCAUGCCAUAUGAGCUACUAUUACCAUGUGCGGAAGAUACUGCCACCACUCUUCUCAAGUUUUGGGUAGUGUGACUACUACUAUCAUCUUAUAGGUAGUAAUAAUUGCUGGCUAACCAGCAUCCUUGGCCUUCGCUCCAUUAAAAACCUCAUUCUAAGCCUAUAGUUCUCACCCUCUUUGAUCUACACCACAGUCACUCGGCCUAGACCCUUGUUGUUUCAGCUUGUGCCUCCUUAGAUGUAUCGGUCUACACUCUUGGUGUUUUGGUCUACACUAUUGGUAUUUUAGUCCAUAUUCUUGAUUUUUUGACCUGCUCCUUCCUUAGUGUAUUGGCCUGGAUCUUUGGUAAUAUCGGUCUGAAUCCCUUUAUCCUUAGUAUUUCAAUUUGUACCCUUGGUAUUUUGACUUAUAACCUUGGUAUUUUGGCUUGCUUCUAUCUUAGUGUAUCAGUCUGCAUCCUUGGUGUAUCGGUCUAAAUCCUUAUUGUUCUAGCAUGUUUUUUUGACACUUAGUAAGAGGUUGAUAUGCUUAUAGUAGUAUUCAACCUACUGGUCAUGUAUUUUAACUAGAUGUAGUGUACUUCAUCCUAUCGACCGAAUACAACUUCGACCUAUUGAUUGAGUACAACUUUGCUUGCUGGUUAUGUAGUAUUGUAGCCUAUUAGCCGAGUACUUCAGCCUACUGAAUGAUUUUGUUUAUAUCUUGGUAUUUAGUCAAAGAUUGACAUCCUUCCAAAAGCUCUUAUUUGGCCUUCAAAAUAUGUCGUUUUUGAAGAUCUGCUAUUACUCGAUCUAUGUUGGAUGGCUUUCCAAAGCCUGUUAUUGAUCGGUCUUCAGAUCAUAGACAUGGAUCUGAAUGUGAUGUAAAUAACAAGGCAUUGUGAAGCAUCAUGAUUUUUGUUGAAAUCAUCUUCAAGUCCAUUAAUCUUAUUCAAAGUAUGUGUACCAUGGAGUCAUUUGUUAUACCUUCUUUGGUUGAAUCCUAAAAGGUGGAGAACCAAGAGCACUCAAAAUAAACAUCUGCAUUUCCUCCUAAAUCCAACCACAAAUUAUUGGUGGCAAUGGUGAGAUUAUCUAAAGGAGAUGAAGAGAUAGACUUAAAGGAGGUUGUACCCCACUUUCCACUAUGUUCACUUGAGAUCUUGAUCCAUCAUGUUCUUUUCUCAGUGGUUUAGUCUACUUGUAGAAGCAAAUCCUAGCAAGAUGAUUUGUUUUCCCACACACAUAAUAACAUUGCUCCUUGCCAUUCUGCUUCUAAUGUAGGUUUAGAACUCGAGUGGGAUUAUAUCAGUUUUGGCUAAGAUUAGGUAUAGGUUUAAAAGUCUGGUUGGCUUCAAGGAAUGGUUAAGUUGGUAUUCAAUCUAAUUCACCCUAGGGCUAUAGUCAUAUUUUGGCUUAACCUUUGGUUAGUGUUGUUCCUCUAUCCGAAGGAAGUCGAUAACUUCCAAUAGGGUGAAGUUACAUUGCUUAUGAGUCAACUCUCUUGGAUAAUUGGCCUAGGAAGGUAAAAAGUAGUCUAUUAGAUUAUACGUCUUAUAGGUUUCAGAGAAAAAUCUAAUCAUUUUGGCUUUCCUAAGGGCUCUUAGAAUUUAUAGAUUUGGUCAUUGACCAAGUUAUUGUCCACAAUCAUUUAUCUUUGGAAUUUAUUGACUACAAAUUGGUUGAGGCCAGCAUCCUUUGGGCCAUACUCCAAUUCAAGAGCAUCCUAAAGUUCUUUGGCAAUUUUAGUUGGAAGAUUGAUAACAUAUAAGGUAUCAGAUAAAGCACUGAGGAUCCUAUGAUAAUGAUGGUAGCCAAUUUAUUUUGGGGUUUGUAAGACUUGAGUAAGAUGAACUUGAAGUAUAAAGUACACUAGAUUGAGAUUGAUUUGGAUUUGAAUCUGAUCGAGGAGAAGGGUCUUGGCCACUUGGCGGAUGCUUUAUAGCUAAAUUAAAUGUAGCAUGGUUAACCAAAACCUCGUUUGGCUCUGCCACCUCUUUGAACAAGGAUCCAUUGAAUAUUUCAAGUUUGAUUGAGUUUUGAUCAUCAUGAACAUCAAUGUCCAAGGGAAAGGAUUAAUGAAAUAAUUAUGCACAACUAAAUCACAAUGUCUUACUUGGAAUUUUAGGUUAGAUAUAAGGAAUCGUGCUAAAUUUUCUAAGUAAAGAUUUUAUUUAGUGGCUUAUAAUCAAUGUCAAAUAAGUUUCUACCUAGCAUUUAAGAGCUUGUAAUUAACAAGCGCACAAAGGUUCAAUUUAAGGGGAUAGAAGUUUCAAACCUUUAAAUAAUAGCUUUUAUGAUUUUGUGAUUUCAAAUUUCAUUCAAAAAAAUAGCAAUCAAGAUAAUAAAAGAUAAUAAAAUUCUUAAUGACUAUAGCAAUAAACUAGCAAUAAUUGAUAUGAAAUAGGUUUUAAAAUCUUCAUUUGAAAAUAUGAAUUUUAGAAAUUAAUGCACAAAACUAAUAUGCACAGAAAAUUGAAACCAUUGUUUCUAUUUACCAGAACAUAACUAGUGUUUAUCCAAGUCUAAUUCAAAACAAAUUGCUAUUUACUAAAAAACUAGAAAUGACCAGAAAAUCUGACUGCUAUAAUAGAUAUUUACUAAAUCAGAAUUGGUGCUUACUAUGAUGUAGAAUGUUUUUAUUAGAAACAAAUUUCUGUUUACCAAAAUUCCAAACUAGAAGGUAGUAAUAUAAUAUAGAAGCAACAAUUGUUACGAGUUUAAGCUAUGAGCUUACAAAAAAAUUAUAGGUGUUUAUUCCUGAUAGUUUGCGUAUUACAAACUAUAGAUGCUUAUCAUAAAUGGACCAAUAUAAACAAUAACUAUUUUGAAAGCUAACAAGAUUUAUAAAUCAGAAAAUUAAUAGAAACUAACUUUAAAGUAUCAAAAGUGUUUUAAAACCAAAAAACACUCUCAAAAAGACUCAGGAAUUUAUGUGACAAAAUAAUCAUGAAUAAAAUUAGAAAGAAACAAUCUAUAAGUAAGAAAUUAGAAAAUAGGGACAUCUAGAUUGGAGGCAUACUAGCCCUAAGAGCUUUGUUACCCCUCUCUUGUGUAGGGCACACAUAUCUAAUGCUCUGGAGAUACAACUAAUCCCCAGCUCAGCUCACCUCUUCAUUGAUGCAACACAAGUUCAUGAAGAUCUUGACACUCAUGAAUCUUUUAGUUAGCAAAAUCAAUACUUUGAAAGUGUAUAAAAUAUGAGAAAAAAUAGUAAAAAUAAUGGAAAAAAGUAGGUGAACGAAGAGAGAAGUAAAUGUCUAUCAUAGGGAAGGAGGGAGAGAGAAAGAGAGAGAGAGGGACGGAGAGGGAGAUUUGAUUUUCAACAAGGCCUGGCUAGCCGGUGCAUCCAUAUUUGAUAGCCAUCCAAAGAGUCAUAUAUCUAAUUAAAACCUGCUAGUUAGAAAAGCACUAAAUGUAGCUCUACUUGCAUUUAUUUUUCCAUUAUUGGAUUAAAGUUUGUUGAACUAGUAAAUGCUUUAAUUUUUGAACUUUUGCAACUAAAAAUCAGAAUAGAACAUUUAAGGGAUUUGCUAGGUACUUCCUAAAAUAUUUUUUAUAAUAUUUUUUUAUUUUUUACCAUUUAUUUGAUGAUGAAUGAUCCAGGUUUUUCAUAAAUGUCACAAAUUACAGUUGACGGGUAGGCUACAUGUGGAUAGCAAAUACCAUAAUUUGAAUGAAAUUAAUUUGAUCAAAAAGAGGAAAGUAUUUUCUCAACCUACUCAACUCAAAUCUCUCAAAAUAAAUUUAAAAAAAAAGGAUGGAACAAUUGGUGAAAGUAGGGUUUAUGUCGCAUUUUCUUUCGUUGAUCUCUAUAAAAUCGAGAUAUAUGGCCUCUAUUUAUAAUGGUGAGAUCCGUUCUUGCACAAUUCAUAUUAGAUUUCUUUCUUAGUUCUAAUAGAACUCAUUUUUUAAAAUAGAUUUGACUGGUAGAAAUAAAUUCGAAAAAGCUAAAAUCUUAUAGAAGGUGGAUCUCAACUUAUACAUCUACUUUGUCUUAUAUUACUUUAUCGAAUUCUUCUUGAAUUAGGAGAUACAUUCAGUCAAAAACUUUUUCGAAAAGAAAACUUUCAAAUUGAUCUGUCUGUUUCAGAGUCUACAUGAUGGAAUUUGGACUUGAUCGCUAAAGGCACAGCCUCCCUUAAGGGUGAUACCACAUUGUAGAUCAUGAAAAGUUAUCCGAUUUUCAAAAAAAAAAAAAAGAGUGAUGGCCUUCGGAAGUUUAGCUCGCGAUCAGUUUCUCGAUAUGAUGGAUCUCGCUCUUGAACCUUAUCUAUCUCUAUCAAUAAUGGCCAAAGUAGUCUAUAUCAAGUCUAGUGAUUCUUUUGAAUCAGAAAUCCAAAGGUCAAUGUUUGAAAACAUCGGUGGAUAAUUUGAUAAUUUAGGCCACUUUCAAGGGUCAAAAUGGUUCCUCCGCUCCAACACCAACACUCUUCCUACCACAACAAAAUGACAGAAAAACGUCCUCCUCCACACCAACGUUCCAAUGCGCUUCCUCCCACAAUAAAACAAGUCGUGAUAGGUGGGGAGGUUGGGACGUCACCUGGGGAAGAGAUACAGGCAAUGGGGUUGAGAGAGGGUAACCAGGUGAUUCCUGGCCAAGAUUAAUCACAUUUUUUCAAAAAAAAGAAAGAACAAAAUACACCUAAGCAAAUCCCUACCUUUAAAUAAUUAAAUAUUGUCUAACAGAAUAAUCUAUCAACGUUAUUAGGAAUCAUGAAAGUACCUUAUCACGAGGCUUUUUUGAGUUAAACUCGUAUCAAUCUUCUAUCAUUUUUAUUAAACUAGAGUUCGAAUUGACACUAAUGAUCGUAUGAGCUAGAUUUAGGCUUGAAAUCAGAUAUGAUACGAAUAUAUCCAUAUCCAUAUUUGUUUUAUUUGACGAAUAUAGAAUCGGAUAUAGAUGUUAUAAAUUAGAUACAAAAAUUUAUAUUUAUAUUUAUUUUAAAUAGAUAGAGAUACAAAUCGAAUAUCAAAAUUAUGAAUAUAAAUCAAAUAAUUAAAUUUUAUAACUAUAGAACGAAAGAUAUUACUAGGUGGAAGAUAAAUCAAUUUAUAUCGACAUUUAUUUUUUAAAAAAAAUUAUAAGUAUUAUAUAAAAUUAAAUAGGAUUACAAAUGAAAUCGAAUAUAUAUCGAAUAGUUAUCUAUUUAUAUCUAUAUUUUUUUAACAGAUAUAAAUAUAAAUAUAAUAUUAAUUGGAGAGACCCAAUGACAUCAUUUGGUCCACUCGUCAAGGUUAAUUUACUUCAUGCGUCUCACUCGUCAAGCAUCCAUCAAAUUACGUGCACCGUGAACUUUUUCUUUAAAAGAAAUCAAUCCACUUGAAUCCAGCUGUGUCAUUCUAUAACCCAGUCAAGAACCAAAGACGUAUCUUGACUGAGACCUACCACUUAAUGGGACAACAUCGGUUAAUGUCCACGUUGGUUGGUGGAGCGUCCACAGCACCAACAGCACUGAUUAUGGCGCGAGACUAACUGACAACAUUGAUACAGAGGUGACAAUUUAUGGCCCCAUCCAUAAAUAAAUUUAAUAUGAUAUAAAUAAAUUUGAAUCACAAAUGAAUUUGAUUAAACUUAUUUAUUAAAUAAAUUAAAUUAAAAUUUUAAUUAUAUUUAAUCUAUUUCAUAUCUACUUAACCUAUAUCUGACUUAUUUAAUCUUUUUAAUCUAUUUAAAUUUUUUGAACGAUUAAAUAUUCGUUCAACCUAUUUUAAUAAAUAUAUUAUGUGGGUUGAAUCGGAUUAUCUAUUUAAUAAAUAGGUCGGAUUCAGAUCUGAAAUUUUGAUCUGUUUCUUAAAUAGAUCGGAUUUUGAUUGAUAAAUUUUUGAUGCGAUCCACAUCCAAUCUGAUCCAUAUCUAAUCUGAUCGGAUCUGAUUGCUACCUUUAGUCUUAUACCUUCUUGAUUCGUUUCUUAACUAAGUACAUGCAAGUAUGACUAAAAUUCCCUAAUCACUCUUUCCCCUCUCAGCUAUCAUGUUAAAGUGCGGCUGCAAAGAAAGAUGGAUUGACAAGAAUUUGUCUUUGCUGACUCGGAUCCACGCGAUGGAUUCUUCUGCUAAAAGCUGUCAUUGUGGCCAUCUCCUUUUUUUUUUAGCAGCUCUUUUGGAAAUAUAAUUUAAGAUUUCAAUGGGUGAAGAAUGGAGUUAAAAAGUGUGAAAGAAAGAACAAGGGGAGCAGGUUGACCCAUUUUUUAAUAGUCUCCGAUAUGUUUUUGCGCCAAAAAGACACAGAAUGAAAAAGAAGGAAACUCCUAUUUUAUUAGCUACGUUGCAUAUGAUAAUUAUGUCUAUGAAUUCAAGGAUUAAUACUUCCACGCAAAUGUGGUGCUAGUUCCACCCCUUUUUUUUUCUUUUUUUUGAGAAAACGGUGAGAAUAGUGUUACUAGCUGUGCCUGUUUGCUCAUAGUGUUACUACCAUAACACAAGACUUCAUCAACAGUUUUCUGGCCCAUCAUGUCAAAAAAUGGUUGUUAGCCAUUCGUUCUCAUCUGAGUUGGUUUGGACUCUGAAAAAUUCACAUUUUGGUUUUUGAAUAGCUGUACUCCAGGGAGGCGACACUGCUCAGUGGGACACCUCCUUGCUUUCGAUUCCAUUAAUUGGUUAGACAAAAGGCUGUGAAACUAUCAACUAACAUAGUAGAUUUUAUGGUCCAGUACUGUACCACCAUAGAUAAGUACCAUAUAUCCAUAUGGAUGGCUCUUAUUUAUUUUGAAAAUAUAUUACGAUACUUUUUAGCAUGAUGCACGAUGUAUCGUGGAGACGAAGGAGAGCUACUUUAUCUCAGAGAUGAAUAUUAUGUCUCCAUUUGGAGCAGCUGUUGGUAGCAGAGCUUUUGAAAGUAGAACUUUUAUAAAAAAGCUUUUGCUGUUUGGUAACUACUUUAACAUGUGUUUGGUAAACAAUCUGAGAAAGUACUUUUGUUAUGAUAAAAUGACCAUAAAUGGCAUUGCAUAGUAUUAUACAACAGAGUAUAAUAAAAUAUAAUAUAUAUUAAUACAUAAAUAUAUAAUAUAAUAUAAUAUUACUAUAAUGUAAAUAAUAUUAUUAUAAUAUAAUAAUAUAAUAUUAUAUACUAUAGCAUAAUAAUUUAAUAUACUAUUAAAUUAUUUAACAUAAUAUAUCAAUGUAUUAUGAUAUAAUGUAAUAUAAUAUUAUAUUUAUAGUAUAAUACAAUAACAAAGGUAUAAAAUAUUAUAAAUAUUAGAAUAAAUUAAUUUUCCACAAUAUAAAUAUUAAAUUAUUUAACAUAACAUAUUAAUGUAUUAUGAUAUAAUGUAAUAUAAUAUUAUAUUUAUAGUAUAAUACAAUAAUAAAGGUACAAAAUAUUACAAUUAUUAGUAUAAAUUAAUUUUUCACCCUCCUACAUAUUUUCAAAAGUAUAAAGGUACAUUUUGUGUAAUUGUUAUAUUUUAUCAUGAGUAUUUUCAUCAAAAAAAAAAAGCUUUCCGAUGGGGCCUAAAAGUAUUUUUACGGAAAGCUUUAAAAUGGAGCUUUUCCCAAAAAGCUGCUUUUAGCUUUAAAAAAAGCUAAAACAGCUUUCCAAAAUUUUUACCAAACGUCCAUAUUUCAUCUAAAAGUGCUUUUGGAGGGCCAGAAAGUGCCAAAAAUUUUUCCAAAUGGGGCCUAUAUUUUGCUGUACAAAAGUUAUAUCGCAAAGGACGGUGUAACAAUAAUCAAAAAAAAAAUUAGAGGAUUUCAAUUGCAAAACGUGGUUGGUGGUUAGACACUAACAAGGGCAUGUAUCCCAUGUCAAAUGCUUGAGCGGCAGGCCCUGCGAAGUAGGCGGGCCACCGGUGCCUCAUGAGAGUGUCAUGUUUGUUCGCAAGAGAUUGUACGAUAUAAUAAUAUUUUAUGAUAAGAUGCGUCAUAAAGGUCGAGCAAUUUAAACUAAUAGAAUGCUGCGAAGACAGCUUACGUGGAGCUAGUAUAAAUAAUGCUGUCUCUUUUUUGCGUGGCCCCAGCUCCCAAAUAAUUGCUUGGAUGGAUAAGGCUAAUGUCACGGUGCCUUUUCCAAAUUAUUCUCACUUAUCUGAUUGAUCUCGCAGGGUCAAAAUAUGUAUGAGACAGCUAUGCUUCGUGUUCAUGCAUGGCAAUAGAAUUUACAAAAUCAGGGAACCGACAGGUGCAAAUUUAGUAGAUUAAGUAUGCCAUGGAGAAUUAUAUGAAAAUUCAGUGCAAAAUCUGCCAUACCAUCUCGUACCAUCUUAUAUGAGGCAUAUCGUACCACCUCGUAUGAGGCGUAUCAUACCAUACCAAAAAAAAGGGGUACGAAACACACCUUCAAGUCGGUACAAGCUACGUACCGAGACAUGUACCGAUCCAUACCAAAGCAUGCCAAUAUAAAAAUUGGAAAAAAAUAAUCAGAAAGUUGUUUCGGCACAGAGGUCCAGCGUACUGUAUCGAAUCAAACUAAUAUGGUAUCGGAUACUGAGAUUGCGAACCUUAGUUCAGUAUUCAUAUUUGAAUUUUAGUUAGUGGUGACUAAACAUAAAAUCUUACUUCUUCGAAAUAAAAAUUUGGAUUAUAUUUUAAACUAAGGUCAAAGAAAAAUGUCUAUAUACCUAAUAAAAUCUCUCGCACUUUUCAUCUGAGUUCAAUUCCUUUUUACAACCCUCUAUAUAUACCUGCAUUUAUCAUGAAUUGGUUUUCAGUUCAGUAACUUAUAGGACUACUAAUAUGUUUGUAAUGUCUCUCUUUCUUCUUUUUUUUUUUUGUUUCCCCGGUUUAAAUUUUUUCAGGAUGCACCAUCCAAAAAAAAGAACUGAAAACUUCUAGUUGCUAAUCAGCUGUUUGCGACCACUAGGGCAAGCCUUAAUUCAGGUAAUUAUUUUGUUCUUUAAGGUGUUUGAAUUCGUACAAAAUGGGAUUAAUCUCCAAAAAUCACAAUAAGUAAUUGAAUGAAGAUGAUAAUGGAUUAAAAUAUUUUCUGGAAGAAAAGAAAACCACUUUCAAAUAUUAGGACAGGCAUUAACAAAGCUUGUUUCUCAGAGCUUCAAAAUGGAGCUUGACCACUUGGUUUUGCCUGGUUUUGUGAUGGAAUAAGCUUGAACAGCAAAGUACAUUUCCAAAUAUAUUUAUAAAUAAAUCCAUAUAGGUCACUUGGUUUCAUUGUAUGGAUAAAUAAAUUAGUGUGCAAUGUGGAUAAGGUUCCAAAAAGAGGCACAAGAAUGGAAGAACGACAUAAGUUAGUGAUUUGCUUGAUGCUUUCUCUAUCAAGCAUCCUUUCAUUCUUUAAAAAGAAUAACUAUGAAAUUUAUUUUCCUUUAUUCUUGGAAAAGCUCAACCAACCACUAAAUCUCUACUUGGUCCAUCAUGGAUGUGAAGUAACUUGCAAACAUCUCCAAAGGAGUGAUCUAAGAUAACAAAUAUUACAAGAUACACUUAGUAACCAAAAUAUAUCUAGUCUACUUUCUAGCAAAAUGUUCUAUGCUAUCCAUCCCAAUAAGCCCAAUCUCAUCAAUACAUAAUUGAUAUAAUUCUAAAACAUUAAAGUUCAACUAAUAUUUAAUAAUUCUCUCUUUUAUCUAUCAGCCAUUUUUCUUCACUUCUUUCCAUCCUAUCCUUGAAAGAAGAAAGAGAAUGCUAUCCUUAAUGAAAGAGAAAAGAGGUAUAUACCAAGAACUCUAUAAUAAAAGCCAACACACUGGAACAGAAGAUUAGUAUUUUCAAUUGCAUUUCAUUUCCAAAAAGUCUCCAAGGGAAUGGGAUUAGGAAACUUCUCCUUAGGAGCUCGACCUCUAUUACAUGGAGCAUUGAUCACCUGGGGAACAAAAUCUAGUAGUUGAUAUCAUCUGUAAAUUGAAAGCCAGCUUCCCAGCAUUUCUUGUUUAGUUAAAAGAAGUAGGAGUAUAACUAUUAGUAGCAAUUUGGAAUCCCUUCUACAUGCUUUCUUUCGUUCAAUUUUUUCGAUUUUAUUUAUAACGUGAAGUAACAUAAUAGCUGUUCAAUUAUGAAUUUAGUUUUGUUUUCAAUUGGUUUAGCAAUGAGGUGACAUGAUGGCUCAAAAAAGCCUACUUAUUGGUUGCAAAGCCUAACAUAGGAAUCUCCAAUUUAUGAUAACAAUUCAAUCAUCUUCUCCCAAUCAAUCCACCUAGACAUAAACAAAGAGCCAACAUCAGGAUCCUUAUACAUGCAAUAAAUAAAAUCUAAACUAGCAUAUAGCCCACACGAAUGACAGAGUACAGUUUGUUUUUUUCUUUUUUCAGUUAUUUUUGAAUUACAAUAUAGCAAUAUAACAAAUUAUAAUAAAUAGAAGGCUUCAAUACCUAAAGUUUUAUAGCAUAUCUAGCAAAAAAAAAUUCAUGGUUGUCAAGUAAAAACUCCCAUUAUUAAUAUUGGCAUCAUUAAUAUUGAUGUCCACACGAUAAAUAAAAAAAUCUAUGCAAACCAAGCCUUUAUGUAAAAUCUCCUGUCAUUAACAUUGAAAUCAUUAAUCUCAACCUUGCACGAGCUUGAUUAGCAUCGUAUAAACCAAGAGAACCAACAAAAAUGCCUAAUUUUAUAUUAUUUAUGAAAUUUUGUAUCCAAAUAGCUCGAGUAGAGGAUAUACUGCAAGCAAUAUAUUUAGCUUUUUGCAUAUGUCUAAUAACACAGUCAUUUUUUGCUAGACCAAGAAACAACAACAUCAUUAAAAUACAAGCUAGGCAUGAGACAAAAGGCUGUGAAUCCCUUAAGACCUGGUCCACAGAAUGUACAAGGCCUACACCUAUAAUUUGAUAAUAAAACAUUCCACAAGUUUCAAGCUUUAAAAUAACAGGUAGCUAGUGGUACAUUUAGAGCAACAAAAUCCAUAAAGAAAUUAUAUAACAAAUCCAAUAUAUAUCAACUUAACCAAAAAUAAAUAGUCAUCUAUCAUAAGUACUUCACCAGCCAAUUAUACCUCUAUCAUGCCAAUAAGACAAAGUAGAAUAAGUUCCAACAUAACUAAGUAAAACUGGUAGAGAGAUGGUGGUUCCGAUCCUAAUCUUUUCACGCUCACUCCCCAUAACUUCUCCCCAGGAUCUGAAAGAAAAUAAAAGAAAAACCCUUAUACUCCCUCCCUUCCUCCACUACCCCCACGUCCAGCCUACCCUCUCCUCCUCGUCUUGUGAGGAGCCCUCCGUACGUAAGCUCUGGAUCCUUAAGCAACUCAUGCUCUCCUUGGUGAGGAUGAUGAUAUGUAUGUUAACCAUUUAGCUAAGCUCAUCUUCUUGUUCAGCUUCCUAUGCCUCCUUCCCCUCCCCUACCUUCUCAGGUCCCUUACCUACUGGACCACCCAGGUCGCCAUUGCCAUCGCUAUCAUCCUCAUCAAUCUUUUCUGGAGGAAAAGAACGAGGUACUAACCCAACCCAAACAUUAUCGAUGGGACUAAAACACAAGUUAGCCAAGGCUAGCUAACCUUCCAAAUACAAGACAACAGAACAGAAGAGCCCUCCAUCAGGCUCCCAAAGUAUGAACUACGACAACAUCAAUAGUAAUUUUACUGGAGAAAUGAACUAGUCAGUCACAUGAGACCUCCUCUAUAGUAUUUCCAGGCAAAUGUCCAAAUGCGAGGGGGGCUAGUUGCUAGGCUCCAUUUAGUACGUAGUCAAGUAGGGGCAUCUUGUUCUUGGUGAAUGGCCUCACUUGCCAUCCAAAUAACAUGAAGUUGACUGCAAGUGGGGAGAUGUCUUUUUUUUUUUUUUCUUCUCUCUCUUUUCUGACUAUUUUUUAAAAUACAAUAUGACGAUAUAUAACAACUAAUAGUAAAUAAAAGACUUCAAUUGCCAAAUUGCGGCUAUACGUUAUGGUUAAGCAAAAAUUCCUACCAUUAAUGUUGACACCAUUAAUACUGACAUCCACAAGUAAAUAAAAAAAUUCUACACAAGCCUAACCAGAUCAAACAGUGAACUUUAGUCCCGCAGCCAUAUAACAAAUACAGCUGCACAAGAUUCGUUCAUUAAUAGCAUUAUCAUUAAUAUUAGACUGCUUGAUGCACCGUGUAUAAUUAUUUUUUCUUUUUAUCAACUAUUUUUGACAUGCAAUGUAACACUAUAGCAAAUUAUAAUAAAUAAAAAAAUUUAAUAGUUAAAUUUUUGUUGUAUAUAAAAUAAUAAACUUCAAUAAUAGCCAAGUAUAUUAUUAUCAAUGUCAUUAACAUUUGUUGAAAUUUAAAUAAUAAACUUUUGUGAUGACUGAGCAUAUCAAUAUUGAUGUCAUUGAUAACGUCAUCGACAUAUCGAAUUAAGAAUUUUUGGUUAGCUAUUUUUUGCUACUUAAUAAACUCAAAAAUGAUUACAAUAAUAUUUAUAAAUAGUGUAAAAGCAUUUUUUACAAAGUAGAAUUUUAAAUUUUAUUAUAACGUUUACUAAAAUUAAAAUAUCUUGAAAUUUACUAAAGUUCGUUAAAUACCUAAAUGGUGGUGCAACUCGAGACGCUUGGGCAUCGCGAACCCUAUCGUUUGUCCUUUAUUCUGCUCUCGUGUAUAAAGAAAAAGAGAGAGGCACGAAAACAACGAAAAAGAUCUAAUUCCCGACCCCAAGGAAGAACCCGCGAAGAGUCGAAUGCAUGGUGGUCGUCUCCUCCUCCUCCUCCUAAAUCUUCCCCCUUCGUCCAAGCGUCGCCGCGUCGCCUUCCUCCUCCUCUCUUCCAAAUCCCUCACUCUCUACUGGUAAAUCCCCAGAUUUCUUCACGCUGAGGGCCAGCUCGGUUGUUUUGAGCUUAGAAUUCGUAGGAAUUUGGUAGUGUUAGAGUUAGAAUUUGGGAUGGGGGCCUGGGUGUCGAGUAUGGAUGGGGGAGAGCGGCCGAUUGGGCUGGGGGACUUGCCGGAGAGUUGCGUGGCGGAGGUGCUGCUCCGACUUGAUCCGCCGGAGAUCGGGCGGUUCGCACGGCUCAGCCGCGCAUUCCGGGAGGCGGCGUCGGCGGAUUUCGUGUGGGAAGCAAAGCUUCCUAGUAAUUAUAGGUAUUUGAUGGAGAAGGCGCCGGGGGAGGAGAAUUCCAAGCAUGGGUUUGGCAAAAGGGAGAUAUUUUCGAAGCUCUGUCGGCCCAAUCGCUUUGAUGCGAACACCAAGGUACGCGUUUUUUUUUGGUUCCUUUCAACGCACAAAUGGAUACCGUGAUUUGAUUUGCGUUCUCAACGAGAACGCUGAAAUCCUUCUAGUUGGAAGGAGAAAAGGAGAAACUUUUAUGUGGGUUUUCUAAUUAGAUGCUAGAUAUGAUGAUUGGAAUUGAUUUCCCUUUUCAUAAUCAAAUUUUAGGUAGGUUUUUGGAUUUUGAGUUCGAUUUCGUUCUUAAAGUCAAAGGUGAAUCUUUUGGUUUUGGAAGGAGUAAAGGAGGGAAAAUUCAAGUCUAUUUUCUGAUUUCAUACUAGAUAAGACACUUUGGAUUAAUAUCCAAUGAUUCUAGGGAAUUGUUGUUCAUCUUAUUGAUGGAGUGGGGUUUGGCUUCUGGUGCUGCAGGAAUUCUGGCUGGAGAAGUACACAGGUGGGUUUUGCAUGUUGAUCUCAUCAAAGGCGUUAUCAAUCACAGGGAUUGAUGAUCGGAGAUAUUGGAACUAUAUCCCUACCAAUGAAUCUCGGUAUUACUUUGUUAUUUUAUUAUGUAUACAUAAAUUUAUUUAUGUUUUUGCCUUUUCUUCCAUUCAAAUAGGGUGAAGCUGUUUGUGAAAUUAAUCCGAUCGAUUAAUAUUCUCAUUUUGCCUAUUUUUCUGCUUUAAGAUUAUUCCUAGUUAGUUUCAGCAUUGAGUUUGUUGUUGUGGGUCACUGGGUCAGUAUUUGUAGAUUGACGUGCUCCAAAUUAUAUGGUUCUUAAUAGUCAUGAGUGGCACCUGAAGACCUUCAUUGCCCUGUUCUUUUGGUUUUUAGAUUCUUGUGGUCAUAUAUUUGUCACAAGCUUCAGUUUCCUAUUUUUUCAAACCCCUAAAUUUUUAGGGGCUUCUACAUAUGUUUUUAUUGUCAUUUACAGAACUCUUUUUUGGUGCAUAAUCAUUAUUAGCAGCUUUUCAGCUUAACUAUGAGUUAUUCUGGCUUCCUCUUUCAGAGGUCAGUUAGUUGCUAGUCAUAGAUCACCUAGCAUCUGGUUAUAUGAUAAGGAGCCAGUUACUGUCUGCUCACCUCCCUACUUACAUAGGAGAGCCAUGUCUCUAAGUUUUUUUUUUCUUGUAUUUUCUUCCCUUUCUAUUUUGUUCUUGUUUUCAUUUUUCUUAAUUUUUUCGUUUUUUCCUUCUUUCCCAAUGUUACCGCACUUGCUUUUGAAAAAGCUAUACAAUGUCCAGACUUUCAUGCAUCUUUAUGUCUCGAUCUGAUUAAUAUUGUUGUUUAUAGUCCUAUUCUCAUCCAUAUCCCUUGUCUUGCAGCAGAUCCAUACUUUCAUCAGGUUUCUUUGGUUUUUGUUUAAUGCCCUUUUUUUCCCUCCCUGCAUUUUAUUUUUGGUUGCUGUCUCUAUAGUGUGUGGGUUCUCUUGUGUUGAGAUUUUUUAAUUUUUUAGUAGGUUUUUGACCACAUGGUGAACACCCAAUUGGAUCAAGCCUUCUUCCAACUUUUUCUUUACAUUUUUUCCUCGUCCCCAGAAAUAUCGGGGUCCAUGGAAAAGAUUCAUUUGCAUUGUUGAAGAUAACUAAAGUAGGUUAUGUUGCUAUAUCUUGACAUUUCAAUUCUGUUCUUAGGGCUGCUAUUGGCUUGGUGGGUUUGUUUUACAAGAAAUGGGGCAUGAAGUUUCUCAUUGUGCUGGACUGAAAUGAUCGCAAUCUAGUAUAGUCCACUGUCAUUAUUUCCUUUAAUUAAUUCAUCAUCACUUAUCCUGAUAGUAUUACAUCACAAUUAUGAACAUUACUGUUCAUUAUAGUCUUGUGCAUCAAUAUCGUUCUUAUUUAAUUUUGACAGACCAUGUUGGCAGAAGGAUUUUCAUUUCUUCAACUGGUUUUUGCUGUGUAAGUUACGCGUAUAAUGUGACAGUCCAUUUUUGAAUUGCUUGAGUUGUGAAAAAGACAAUGAAUGUCAAUUGUCAGCAAGAUUUUAUCUCAUCUGAUGAUGGAUGUGGAUCUGUUCAGAUCUGUGUUAUUCUUACAUUACUGUGAGAGGGCAUACUAGAAGUAAUCAUCAGGCAUAAUUAUUUCAGCUUCAUAUUCUCCUAUUAGUGUUAUGAGGUAUCAGCAGUGCAGUGAAGAGUUAUCACCCAUGUCCUCAAUUCUGAAAUUCUGAUUACAAGCUUUUGUAUUACAAUUAUUAUAUGCCGCAUGAAGUUUGUUAACUGGAGGGAAGUCACAUAAAUCUCGAAAUAUGUUCGUGCAGAUUCCGCGCCGUUGCAUACCUUCAGCAAAUUUGGUGGCUUGAAGUCCGUGGAGAAAUCGAGUUCUGCUUUCCAGAAGGUACAUACAGCUUAUUCUUCAGGCUUCAUUUAGGCAGGACCUCCAAGCGACUUUAUCGUCGGGUCUGUAGCCAUGAGCACGUCCAUGGGUGGGACAUAAAACCUGUGCAUUUUCAUCUGUCAACUUCUGAUGGUCAGCAUGUCCAAACGAAGCGCUAUUUAGGUGAACCUGGGAGUUGGAUCCUCUACCAUGUAGGCGAUUUUGUUGUAAAGAACUCCAGUGCACCCACCAAAGUCAUGUUCUUAAUGAAUCAAAUUGAUUGCACGCACACCAAAGGAGGUCUUUGUGUGGACUCUGUGUUAAUAAGCCCCAAGGGGUUUAGACAGGAAAGAGUGGCACAUACUUCCAAGUAGGUUUGCCACACAAGGAAGGGGGGGGGGGGGGUGGGGUGCGGGAUGUGGUGGAGGUUUAUUAAAUAGCAAAGUUAGAUGCAGAAGGUAGCUUUCUUUCCAUGGCAGAUUUUUGUAUGUACAUGUAUUCCCUUAUAUUACAGGGAUGAGGUAGAGUGAGGGGUUUCCUUUCAAGAUUUUGUAAAUGGGUCAUGUAAAUUUUAGACAUCAAUAUAUUUCUUGAUUAAAAAAUUAUCGUCUAUUUGCUGAUGAUGUAUACUUUCCAGCAUUCCUGAGCCUAAGCUUUCUAUCAAGCAACCAGAAUAACAGGAAAAUAAGCUUAGUCUAAUAGCUCAUGGAAUCCCUUGUAAUUUGAUUAACUUGUUUUAUUUGUUGGAUGUCUGGCAAGCUACAUGUUUCUUGGUUGUAAAAUUUGUUACAAGAACUCUUGGGGGCCAAGCAUGGUAGGUGUUCUUCUCCUUCACAUGUAGAUAAUUACAAUUUAAGCAUGGAGGUCCAAAGAUACAUUACGACUGCUCAAGAACUGAAAUGUCAGACAGCUGAACAAAGAGCAAAGAAAGAGCAUGGACCAUCAGAAGAUGGAAUCAUGAUGAGCUUUCCAAGCCAGGAUCUUCUGAAUCAACCAACCUUUCCUCUUCUCAAUCCUCUCCCCAUUUUCCUACCUAUUUAAGUGAUUUCUGUGUUGCCCUAGAUGCCAGGCAUGGCAUGAUGCUGAUAUCUGUGUUUCAAAAAAUUUCAUUAUGAAGCAUCCAUAGAGGAUAAGACGGUAGUCUCAUUAGCUUUAUCAAGGCAACUGUGUUUUAUCCUUAUCGGUGCUAGCUACCAGUCGAGAGUAGUAGCAGUAGCAUAUCUGUUUGCUUAAGACACUAUUAGAUUUAUGCUUGUUAGGGUUAUAGUUGCUUGGGGGCACACCCUCGAAAGCAUAGUUUAGAAAAUAUGCAAAGCUUGAAAAUAUGUAUCAAAAUAUUAAAUAACAAAAGAUAAAAAAUUAAAAUAGUCAAAUAUUUUCAUUAAUUACUAAUGACUACAACUGUUCAAAAAACAUGAUUCAGAUAAUUCAGUAUCAGAUGCAAAAGUCUAAAUAUCACCCUCAUCAAAAUCCCUGAUCAAAUAAGAGAAGCUAGGGUAUUCUAUAGCUUUGAAAAGAGAUACAACAAUAAUGUGAGGUAACAACACAGUUAAGAAUUCCACACCAGUAUAGUGGCAAUAAUAAUACUAGUAGUAAAUAUGUAACUAAUGAAAUAAUAAAACACCAUCAUCAUGAAAUUCAUGUGCCAUCAGCUUGGUAAUUAAAUAUUUAUUUAACAUACCCAAUAUAUAUAAGUCAAACAGCAUUUUCAACAUACCCAAUAUAUAUAAGCCAAAUAAUAUUUUCAACAUUCAUAUCUGGUAUUGGCACAAUAAUAGCAUCAAUAUAUAUUCGCACAAUUUCAAAGUAACAAUACCAUUUUAUGGUGAGCUCCGGUUGUUAGUAAUCAAUACAAGUUGAAUUCGACAACAUAACUUCCUAACAUCUAGACUGGACACAGCUAUACUCAAUCCUGUGGUAGGUGAACCUUACACUGUUCUUGCCUCACUUCAGCUUAUUGCUGGCAACCAAAAUCAUGCUUCAGACUAUGACUAUCAGCCAUUAUCAGAGUGUCAUGCUCCAACCUGUGAUUGGCCAACUCUCAUCUUGGCGAGUCUAGAUGCUUCCCUUUCCCCUAUCUUAUUAUUAUAUAGUAUUUAUUUAAAUUUUAUUAUAUUUAAGGAUUGGAAUAACCUCAGCCAUGCUCAAGUUUGUGGCAGGCGAACCUCAUAACACUUAUGCCACAUUUCGGCUUGUGGCUGGCGAUGAAAAUAUCAUGCUUCAACUCAUGAUUGGCAAAUUCUCAUUACUACAAAUCCAAAUAAUCCAUUUUCCCCAUCUUAUUAUUUUAUAGGAUUUAUUUAAUAUUUUAUUAUCUUUCGACAUUGGGCUAAUCUCGAUAUUAUAUAGGCUAAUCACUUAUACAACACAUUGACCUAUGACUAGCAACCAAAUUGUCAUGGUCCAGCCUGUAAUUGAGAAUCAUAAUCAGAAUGUCAUGCUUUAACCCAUGAUUGGCAAACCUUCUCGUGGGUAAUUUAAUGCCCCCACCCCUUUUAGUUAUAAUUUCUUUGAGUUAUUUAUUAAUGACAUGCAUGCUUAACUAAGCAUAAUAGAAUAUCAUAAGAAAAUAAAAUAUAUCAUACUUAUCGGCAUAUAACAUAUCCUCAAUCAUGCAGAUGAUCACGCUUAAGAAUCUUUACAAAUUAUUUAUCUUAAUCAUUAGCAUAUGAUACAUGAAUGUGUAAAAUUUUGACAAUUAUAUAAUUAUCGACAUGUAGUAAGUGCUGACCCAAAAUGCCAACUUAAUCUACAGGUACACCUAAUGUGUCUAGUUACUUUUUAAAAAAAUCAAUAAUUGGCAUAACAAAAUAUAAAAACCGACCUCCUCACUAAUUUAAAAUAAUAAAUCACUAAUUUUUAAGUUCCUAAAUUCAAAAUUUUGAUUCUUCAAUCGUAAACUUAUUUCUAGAUUUUUUGUGGGCUAACUUAAUAAUUAAACUAUAUUCAAGAAAAUAGAGAGCAAAAUUUUUAUCUUGAUUAGUGAGCUAGGAGAGAUCUUACAUUGGUCCUCUCCAAGUGUAGACUACUGUCCAAUUAUAAAAUUAAAUCCAUUCUAAUUAGGGAGAUAAUCUAGGAUGAAGGAGAGGGUAAGGGCUAUUGGUCAUAGAUUCAGGGUGGAGAUUCUUAUCUUAAGGGUUAGGGAUUAGUCUGAAGAGGGAAUUUGGUGGGAAGAGAGAGAAAGAAGAAGAUAGGAGAAACAAACUAUGAACUAGGUUCGGCCCGACUUGGGAAUAGAGAGAGAAAGAGAGAGAUAUAAAGAGAAAGAGAACAAAGAAAGAGAUGCAAGCGGAAGGGGAGCCUUGGGCAUGUCCAUGAGGGAGAGAGAGAAAUUGAGAGAGAGAGUGAACCGAGAGAAAGAGAGAGCAAGAAAGAGAGGUUGGAGCUCUAGGAGGUGGUCUGGGCCCUCAAUCAUCGGAGUGUGGCACUACUACUGGCCACAAGGAACAAGACGGAGGGAGAGAAAGAGAGAGGGAGAGAGAGAGAGAGAGAAGGGAGAAUAGGGCAAUCGGUAGGGUGAAGCAAAACAAGGGACAACCCUAUACCAUCCACCAUGCAACUAAAAGAAAGGGAGAGGGGGAAGGGAAAAAGCAAGAGGGAAGAAGGUUGUUAGCAUCAUCAAUCCUAACUUGUGGCUCGACCACUCACCAUGUAGGGGAAAGAAUAUGGGAGAAAGGAAAGACAGAGGACAACCUCCAUGUUGUCCUCAGAGAGUAAGGUAUAAAGAGAAAAGAAAGGUGAGUGAGAGGAAAGAUAUUGGUGGGUGGCGGUGAAAUAAGGGACAACCUUGUUUCAUCCAUCAUUUGAGUGAGCAAGAGGGAGAAAAAAGAGGAAGAGAGGAAAAAGGAGGGAUCAGGGCUCAUUGGAAAGAUGGUUGUGGCCCCCAGCAUUCGAUAGAAGGCGAUGAUUUUAGCCUCAUGGUAGGAGACAAAGGAAAGCUUGGAAAGAAAGAGAAAAAUGAAGGAAGGAGAAAGGUUGAGGCUUAGCCCGAGCCGCAACAUCCAUAGUUAUAGUGGCGGUUGACAUAAAUAGAGAGAGGAGGAGAGAAAGAGAGAGGAAGAUGGUGAUAGUAGAGGUGAGAUCUUGACGGUCAGGAGAGACAAUACAAACACAAAGAGAAAGAGAAAAUGACAGGCUUUGUAUUUGUGUUUGAGCAGAGAGGAGGAAGGAAAUAGAAAAAGGAUCACACUCCUCCCAUCUGAGUCUAUGCUUGGUCGGACAGGCAACCACUCUUCCAUUGAACUCCCUAGUACAGGAAAAAGAAAAAGAUGAUGCGACCUAGGAGCCUCUGUGGUGUGCAUUUUGCACCGUAGAGAGCUGUAUAGCCCUAGAUAGCCACCAUGUCAUCCGAUCAUAGAGACAAAAAGUUAUCAAAAAGAGCACGAUCUACAGCUUGCAAAAUGCAUCGUGUAUAGCACACAAAGCCACCCUGUUUGAUAGCCACCGUCUCUAUUAUCAAAUGAUGUGGCAACCAUCCAAGACUGUAUUGCUCUCUACAGUACAAAUUGUGCCCCGUAGAGGAUUCAAACUCAAUGUGAUAUAGCGAUGUUGGGGGACUGGCUGACUCAUUCAAGUGGACUGGCCAGUUUAUCAUAGUGGAAAUCACAAAGAAAUACAAAAUAUUAUAGUGCUAAAACUCCAUCGUUUAGCUUGGUGGUGAGACCAUCAAGGUGAUGUCUUCCUUUAAAAAUAAUAAUAAUAAUAAUAAUUAAAAACUAUUCUUUUCUCUCUCCUAAACUAGUGUAAGUGAGAGAGGAGAGUAGUUGAAGGGUUAAUAUAGACUAAGAGAUGGUUGGAGCAUAUUAGUUUUUCAAUUGUCUCUUAAGAAAAAAAAACUAGGUAUAACCAAACUUGAGAUGAAUGUAGAUGCUAAAACUAUUUUAUAUUUUUGAUAAUUUAAAUAAAUAUUUUAAAAUGAUUAUUGUAAUUAUUUUUAAUAAAUUAUAUGUUAUUUUCUUCUUUUGGCUUAAAAAUAUCUCUUGCUCUCUUUCCUUGAAAAUUUGUAGAGUUCAUACUUUUUCUUUGUUGCUAAAUAGAAAAGUUUGAUAUGUUGGUUCAAAAAUCCAUUUUUCUUUUAAUAAAUCAUCAAUAAUUAGGUUAAUCUUUCUAAUAGCUAUCCUUAAUUCUCUCAACUACUUAUACUUGCUUUGCUAUUGUAUGUAAGCAUUGCAGAGGAAAAGUUACGAGGAGUAAAGCAUCAAUGUCCUAAUUCAAAACUUAUCUGUUAUAUGUAAUGAUCAAAUUGUUCAAGAUAAAUAAAAAGAGAAAGUAAAGUCAUUCUAUUUUGACAAAAGACCAUAACUAUGUUGAAUAGGUCUGCAUCCACUAUCUUGAUCAUAAUCAUGUGUUCCUAAAUCUGUCUUAGCUCUUUUACUUAUUCUCAAAAUCUAAUGAUGUUAGAAUUCCUUCAUCUGCAGAAGCCAAGCAUAUUUUGUCUUUGAGAGAAAUUUAACUGGAAUUAUUAUAAGAAUAUUUUGAAUCAUUAAUAAAGUUAAUUUUUGGAAUGGCAAAUUAAAAAGUAAUGCUGCUUUUAUAUAAUUUAAAGACUAAGGAUAAUAUAGUCAAGAUUGCAAGAUCAUGUUAAUGGCCAUCUAUGCUGCAGCCAUUUUAUAUGCUAAUCUAAUUUUUCCCCUAAUUUUUCCAAUAGAAUCCUAUAAUUCUAGUUCUUCACAGCUUCAAUAAUCAAUUAAGAUUCUACCCCCAACUUCUUCCAAUUUUGUUCUCUUUUAGUAACCUAUCCUUUUCUACAAAUGCUAUCUUUUUUUCAAGACCAUCAGUCCUAUAUGGUACUCAAAGAUUAGUGAAAUAUUUUUCCAAAAAAUAUGAUGGUGGCAUGCGAUAAAAGCAAUGAGAUCAUGAUUGAAUGGGAUACAAUUAAAAGAAGAAUAAAGUUGAGAUACCUAUAGAUAUUUCACAGCAUUAAGCAAAUAAAGUUAUAGGAUUAUAUUGAAAAAAUAAAAUCUGGGGAAAAAUGAAGGAGGCAUUUGAUUAAAUGACCACCUCUAGAGUAAUAGUUAUAAUGANNNNNNNNNNNNNNNNNNNNNNNNNNNNNNNNNNNNNNNNNNNNNNNNNNNNNNNNNNNNNNNNNNNNNNNNNNNNNNNNNNNNNNNNNNNNNNNNNNNNNNNNNNNNNNNNNNNNNNNNNNNNNNNNNNNNNNNNNNNNNNNNNNNNNNNNNNNNNNNNNNNNNNNNNNNNNNNNNNNNNNNNNNNNNNNNNNNNNNNNNNAAGUUACUUAAAACAUGACAAUAUCAUUGUGCAUAGCAUUUUUCUCCUCCAACAUCAUGUUGGUUGCUACACUUCUUUCUCCUUGUCAAGUCCAUGUUACAUGGUUAUUUUUUACUAAUUACUUAAUAUAGUACGUAUUUAUUUUGACACACUAUUCCUCAUCUUGUAUUCUAAUGGGAGAGUCUUUUGUUUCUGCACUCUUUCUAAUGAAAUACUACUGGAUAUAUAGGCAUCUUUAUGACUGGACUAACCUUCACAAAAUUCCGGUUCAACUGAAAGAGAAAAUAGAACAUCUACUUUCAUUAUUUUUAUAACAGAGUUUUCUGUGACUGGGUUCUUCUUUUGUUAUCUAGAUAUUAUUUUGAGGCUAUAAUUUUUAAUGACUGAACUAUCCUUGAAGAGUUCAAUUAAACCAAAAAAGUUUUAAAAAAAACACUUUAAUUGGAUGUACUAUGAUGUUCUUCUUUUAUAAGUUUAUACCACUAAGAAAGAGUAAAAGAACUUAAUAGCUAAGAAUGGUUGGACACCUCAUCUAAGGAAAAAAACAAAAGUAUUCAAGAAGACUUGCAUAUGUAAAGUCUCAAUGGAUUUAAAAAACCCAUAAAGUCCUAACCUACACUAUUGACUCUAAGUUUUUUCUUAUUUCCUAACUUAUAUAACUUUUCAGAGCAUGGGCUACCAUAUUUGCACCCUUCUCUUAGACCUAAUCAAAAAUUAGGGAAAAGAGAGAACUUGCUAACUACUCCAGACUCCUCAAGUUUCUUCCUGUCACUGUCUCACCUGUCUCUUGAAGUGCGCAUACAUUGAAAGUUUCAAAAACCAUGUACAAUUUUUAAAGAAUUUCAUAAAAACCAAAGGAUUAUUGUUAAGUGCUAAACUUUUCUUUGUAGUGAGACCUCUUCUUUAAUUGGAAAGGCAUAUUUUAGAGUUGAAAUAUCAUUAGAAAUGGAAAGAAAUAAUCUUCGUAACUUAUUCUUCCUCUCUCCCUGACUCUGUGUGUGUGUGUGUGUGUGUGUGUGUGUGUGUGUGUGUGUGUAGAGAGAGAGAGGANNNNNNNNNNNNNNNNNNNNCUCUGUGUGUGUGUGUGUGUGUGUGUGUGUGUGUGUGUGUGUGUGUGUAGAGAGAGAGAGAGAGGGGGGGAAGAGUUUUCGGUUUGCUGUAGGUGGGCUAGUGGGAGAACACUUCACCAAAGUGGCUCGACUGCACCUAGGCCUUGGUGACUUAGGGCCAUUUCAACCUUAAUUUGGACUAUGAAAGAACCUAUUUCAGCUCCACUUUGGACCAACUCUUUGUCCAAAUUCUAGUUUGUUGCUUUCCUUUUUCUUCUUCUAACGUUUUUCUUGGUCAUCUAUUGAAUAACUAUAUUUUCUUGUUAAUUUUGCAUUAAUUUAAUUUGAGCAGAAAUGCUUAACUAUUUUUCACAAAUAUUCUUCAAGCAAUCUAGGACUAUAAACAUCCGUCUGACUCUUUCUUGACAACUCAUGCGUGAAAACUGACCCUAUUUAGCACUAUAUAAAUUUGAAAAGAAUUAUAGAAUUAUAAUAAGUGGUGCUGGAAAUCAUUUUUGCAAACAGCUCUUGCAAAAGGGCAUUUAAUAAAAAGGUGUGAUGGAAUCUCAAUAUUUGUUUUACAUAAUGGAAAGCCAGAGCUUUGUUAAUUUUUAGCAUACAUAUUGGACCAAGAAAAGAAAUCUGUUUGGACUUUUGCAUCUUGACCAAGCUAAGUUGUUUUUUCUUCCCCCAAAGUUGUUUGCAUCUUUUUCAUCUUUCUAACAUGUUUCAAAACUUGUUCUUAAAUAAUCGUUAAGGAACAAUUGCGAGGCCAAGUGGGAGAAUUUUAGUCUAGCAAUAUUUAAUAUUUGGCCAAUUCUAGGUCGUAGGGCUCAGCUAUUACCCAUUAUACAUUGAGUUGCAAACAUAUCAAGAAUUCAAGAUGCAUCCCAGACAUUGAACUAGCAUAAACACAAAUUUAUACACACUGAAAGCAUGUUUUAAUAUAAGAAAUCCUUCUUCUCCUGCAAAAAGUACUCCCAAGUCUGUAUUUUCUAAGGUCUUUUUGUCACGUUUAAACUCAUUUAAUCUUUUGUACUAGUACUUCCUCCUGAUGCUUUCAUUUGCUUCUCUUCUCGGAUCUACACGUAGGCAUUUUCAGUUGCAACUUAUAUCUUGUAUCCACUUUAACCCAUUAACUCUAAUGAUAUUUUCAGUGCCUAAGACUCAAGCCAUGCACAUCAUAAUGUAUUAAAUCAGGCAAAGAGAGAACAAAUAUUACAACAGACAUUUCACACAAUGCUCCACUUGAGUCCCACAAUCCUCCCAAUCCUUGAGACUGAGACUCCAAUCCAAAUACUUCACAGGACUGAUCAAACUUUCAAAUGCAAACUUCCUGUUAAGCAGGGAGGUGAGCUUUACACAUCUAAAGGUUAGAGAUCUAGGGUUUCCAAAUCUUUUCAGAAGAGAUGGAAAUUUCGAGAUAUAGAAUAGCGCACGAUCAUAGAUCUAGAGUUUUCUAGGGGCAAGAGAGAGGAAAAGAUGGGUUUUGAGCAUAAAGAGGAGAAGAGGGUUAGGGUUUAGAGAGGGAGCAAGGGAGGGAGGGGCACAGAGAGGGAGGACUGAGGGAGGUUUUCAAGCAUUCUAGGUGGUUCAAGUUGACCAAUAAGAGAGAGGAAAGAACAGAAAAGAACAGGAGUAAUCCGGUUUUAGUUCAUUGGUGGCAUGUGUUAGAAAAAUACCAUCAACUAAAACCAACUCAAUAGCCAACAAAGAUAUUUCAAUUAUUUCACUAAAUACAUAACCAUUGACGAGCAGCAUUAAUCAAUAACAUCAAGCAAUAAGACAUGAUAACAGUAAGAUUAUUCGCUGGUAGGACGAGGAAAAUAUGCACCUAGUAGCUUCUGAGAGGUAAAUUUGCAAUUGCCCAUAUCUCAACACAUUUAUGCAAACAGUCUAUUCAUAACAAAGCUUUGAAAAAUGACUAACAUUGAAAUUGUUCUCAGAAGAGUAAUGGAUGCAGUUUGAAAUGGCAAAGCUCAAAACUGCCAACAUAACAAAAAAAAUUAUCAGGGUCAAGUCAUCAUCCAAAGAACUUUCAUAUCAGAGCUACUCUUUUGAGCUUACUAAACUGUCAACUUCAUAAAUAUUUUCCUGUGUUUCAUCCAUAUUCUACAUCACCAGGGCUCCCCAUUAAAUAUCCCAUUUUCUGCAAAUUCUUGAGCGAUUUGAUCCAGCUCUGGCAGAUCUACGCUUUGGGGCAAGUCUGGUCUUGAAUUCAGACUGUUGCCGCUAAUCGCAGGGUUGCAGGCAACAGAAUUGAAACUGUUGCUCCUGCUCUGAAAGGGUCCCAAGGCAUUAUUGCCGGACAUGUUGGCAGGGAUACUCCCCAACUCCGUUCCGUUCUUGAUUGACCCAACAUUCAUCCUUACCGGCAAACCUCCUGCGUCAGCAACGCCACUGCCAAAGCCUUCACCAGUUAGCAUGUUACCAUUUGCAUUAGGGCCACCAACAGCCUGUUGUGGUGCUCCUCUGUUAUUGAACACCUCUUGCAGCAACUGCUGCAUUACAUGUUGAGGCAUGUGUUGGUUCACCUGUGAAGGCUGUAGGUUAUUCUGCUGAUGCAAGGUACCAUUCAACACAUGCUGCUGAUGUGCACCUCCUAUACCAUUAACAGACAUGUUUGUCAGAAGUGAAGAAACAGAACCCUGAAAUUGCCCAGGCUUUGCAUGGUUGGGGCCAUUGAUGGUACUUGAUGCUUCCUGCAGAAAUUCAUUUUGGUUUGUGUUCACAUGGUUCCUCAGUAAGUUCUGAUAGUUGUUCACAACCACAUCGUUCUGCGGGAUGUUAUUAUGAACUCGGCUGGUUGUAAUGUUAUUGCUCAUGUUGCUGCUUCUCCCAGGAUGAACGCCAAUGAUUUUACUCAGGGUACUCUGAUCAGCUGGCAGACCAUGAGCAGUCAUCAGUUGCUUCGGUUCCUGCAUCUUCGUGUUUUGUAGCUUUGCAGCAACCUGUUGAGGAUAAUUCUUCAAGCUCUCUGCAAACAGAACUCCACAAUCAUUAAAAAAUGGAGCUACUCUUGGUUUCAGUGAUUUAAGUACAAAAAGUAAAAAAGCUAAAGGGCAGUUCAUGAAAGCUGUGUAAAAUUAUAUAGAAAUGCCCAGGAUUGGAUCUGCUUUAUGAUUAGAGAGUAAAAAUAAAAAAUAAUAACCAGAACAAAAGUGCAAGAAAGAUUUCACAUGUAAAAUGCAAUAUCCAGGCUCAUUUCUGAGCAUACAUCAUUAUGUGACAAACUGAUAUUGAUAACUUUGGAAUCCAGUAAACUUCAGAAUUGUCCGCAAUUACAAAUUCCAUAUCAAGCAUCAACAAUAGGGAAAUGCUUUGGCAUCAAACAGUUGUAUGGAGUAUCAAAGUACCAAAUUAUAAAUUUGAGAAAAACACCAUUAACUGACAAGAUCAUAUCAUGCAGACAUCUUCUGUCUACAGAAUCAUUUAAGCAUUUAAAUAUGACUCAAAUCUCUUCUAUGGUAAUGCAACUCUCUCCCUCUCUCCAUGUUUGCAUGAGAAACAAAGGAACCAGUCCAAAAUGCAAACACAUAUAUCAAGUGUUAUAUAAAAUAGUAAAAAAAUUUAUGCACAUAGGCGGCCACAGCCAUCCAUGCUUCAUGUGUGUCACAUCUAUGAACUGGGUGAAAUUGUAAUAUAGGUCUUAAUAUGUUCGGUAAUCAAAAAGCCAUGGGAAUUUCAGAUGUAGCUUUUCGACGUACAACAUGCACUUUGUUCAUAUCCCAGGAGUUGCUAAUGACUCACUAGAUGGUUAUGUAAAGAUGAAGGGAACCAGCAUAUACUAGAGUAACAGCAAUAGAGGAGUAAAAGCUAUCUACUCACAAUUUUCUAAUGCUUCAUUUAGAUUCUAGGUUAGAUUUUAGAGUCAACAUCUCACAUGGAAAGAUGUCUCUAUAUGUUAAAAUCCUAUGUAAAAUAGAAAAGGAAGCAGAAGCAGACACACUUAGAAACAUGGAAUGCCGUACCGGCCCGUACCGGCCGGUACGUACCGGUCCGGUCCUAGACCGGUACCGGAACGGCAAAAAAACCGGUAUUUUCCGAUUUUUUAUCCGAACCGGCCGGUACGGGCCCGUUACCGGCCUCGUACCGGUGCGAACCGGGCGAUUCGCACCGGUACGAUUUUUUAUUUUUUUAGAACCACAGCGGCGCCGCGCUGUGGUUUUUGAAACCACCGCGUACCGUACCGGUACCGGCCGGUACGUACCAGACCAGACCGAUACCGUACCGGUCCGGCUGGCCACCGGUACGCCGACCGGUACCGGUAUGGCGGACCUUGCUUAGAAAGUAUGAGAACAUUAGCUACAAUUACUUAACAGUCAAAACCUAGCUUACUCGAUGCUACAUGAGAGAACAGAAAAUUAUUUAAACAUAUACAGCGAACGAUGGGAAAGGAAGAAAAGGCAUACUCUCCGAGAGGUAAACUGCAAGAGAAGAGGUUCAAAGAAGUCUGUUAAGAUCAAUUUAGAUUUUCCAUUUCAUAAUCUGAUACCUGUUAAGGUUUUGUACAAGUCCGUCAUAUGACUUUUUAAGGCAUCAAAGAAGCUUUGAAAUCAUCACAUUUUUUGAAUCAUUGUCUCGUUCACUUGCAACAUGUUUGGUCCUUCUCAUGCUUUUUGUUAGAUAAGUAGUUCAUAUGAUAAUCUGAGAUUUGGAGUGCAUUAUGUGAGUCUGAAUACCUGACUUCUGAGGCAUAAUGGAUGUAACCAAGCUUCCCAGCACUAGUUUUGGCACCUGUGCAGGUGCCAUUCUGGUACAGUGUUAGAGCGGGUCAGUUCAUGGUACAAACACUUGGUAGACCCCCCAUACCGAGUAUCGUUUUGCUACCAGUAUAGUACAGUAUGCCCAGAAUGGGCAGUCUAAUCCAGUAUGGCAAACCACAGAUGCAACAAAAUUAAGGUGAGACUUCAAGGAAACCCAAUGGACUUUCUAUUUUCAUCAAGCAUGGUAAUCCUGAUGACUUUAUUUUUCUUUCAUGAUACUUGCUGAUCAAUUGCCUCUGUUCAUCAAAUUUUUCCUUUUGUUGGUACCUCUACUUCCAAAUCUAACAUAUCUUUCAAAAAAGCCAUCCAUAAAAGUUCAUAAAAUGGACUUCUAGAGUUAACUUUCUGAUAUAUCAUUCUGAAGCACUCAAAUUUGCAUGUGCUCCUAUGUACUCAUCAACCAUACACUAUAAAUCAUGCUCAAUAAUUCCCUUCCACUUUCCUCUUAAAGCUUAAAAAAGACCCUCAAUGUUUUUUGAGUCUAACAACCUGAAAGUUCACAUUUUCAGGCUUAGCUCCCUCAGACUUGAACCCAUCUAGACUUAAUAGCUGAAGACCCUUUUUGGAAAUUAUUCUCUACACUUAAUCCCUGAAGUCAAUUUUUAGAAUUUGUUCAUCAUAACUACUUUCUGAAAUAUAUUCAUCCUAAAGACUGAAGGCAAAGAAGAAACAGUCAUUCCUGCUUUACUCUUCAAUACACCUUUUUUUUAUGAAAACUGUUCAAUACACCCUUAAUGUCAUACUUCUCUUCAUCUUUAUGUUGGAACAAACUGCUGUCUUUUUAUGAGUAUCUAAAGGAAAAAAACACUACACAUUUUUGACAUUCACUCUUUUAAGUUUUCCCUGCAACCUUUUCAGCUCCAUAAUAAUUAGAAACUAUCUUAAUCUAUUAGACUCGUGCAAUAUGAUUCAAAAAGAAAAAUAAAUCCAAACAUCUCUUGGCAUUCUUGAGCAUCCAUAACUGACUCCUCUGUCCCAAUUAUUUCCUCAACUUAUGACUCACAGUCAAUCCAAAAGCCUGUCCACUUCAUCUUGAAAGGCAUACACCAUCUAUCAACAUCAAGAGAGAGCAUAGGUACAAGUACUACAUACUUGCGUGAAACCAUGCACUCUUAAGCAUGAAAACAAUCCAUUUUCCAUCAAUUCAGGAUCCGUGUUAUAUAUCCUACUCAACAUGAAAAGCUCAGGCCAUCUUAUAUCCCACUACCUCCAUUAACUCUUGUGAUCUCCCUCCUCUGCAGUCUAAGCUGGUGAUGGGGAUUGUGACAUAUUUCGAGUCUAUAUAAGGGGAGCAAAGAACCAUCCAAGCCUUUGGAUUGACUUGGAUGCCCUGGCACCAUGAUAGGAGCUUUGUUUUUCAUUUAAAUUAUAUUUUCUGUUUUAGUCCAUUUUUUGUUUAAUAGUGUGCAAAGAACUGAAGUGACUCGUUUAGUUACAUGUAUUAUUAAUGAGUCAAGAAGGCAUUUUAGGAAUCAAAUAAGGUGGACAAUUGGCAUGGGUGCUAAAUGUUGGACACAACAGCCUACAAAAAUGUAGGCACAGGGACACAGAAUAUACAAAAGCAUAUGCAUGUGUGCGUGUAAUGUAGAACCAUCUUUUGAAGUAUAUACAAAAAAUGAACAAGAAACCGAAAAGGGGAAGGAAAGAGAUACAUGUUAUCUAACAAACAAAAUAAAAGAAAUAGCCAUGAAUCUGCAAGUUAUUUAUGUUAUUCUUUCUAUAGGUACAUUUAAGGUUAAUUAAAAUGCCUUCCAGUACUUAAGUUGAUCGAUAAUUGUGAUGCCUUCAGAUCAAAAAUACGAUAGCACUUUAUAUUUAAAAUAUCCAACAUUUGAAACUAAAUUCCCCUGCAUGACACUUCGGAAAAAAAAAGUCUAGCAACAAUACUUUUUUGCUAAUGUGAUGCAGUGAUUAUUGAAGAUCAGCUGCUAAACAUUAACGAAGGGUGCAAUGGCUGUGAAAAUGAGCACCCAAAGCAACAGAUUGCUACUCAGAUCCGUGCCAUUGCGAGGGAUGUGUGUUAAUGGAGGCAUCUUAGAACCUCAUCCCGCUGCAAUGAAUAUGCAUGAAAUAGUUCAUAAGCAUAUCUUCAUCCAGCGACCACAAAAUGUCACUGUUUUAUUUUUAUUUUUUUAUGGUUCUUCAGAUUAAUUUUGAUUGAUAAUAAGAGGUCAGUUACUUUCCAUAUCACUGUAGCAUGAACAGUAUAUGCUAUAGUAUGCUGGAAUUUCUUUUCUUAAGGACGAAAUAAAGAGACCUUUUGGCCAAGGUUCAGUCCUAUCCUUUCUUUCUCUUUAUUUCUGCUUAUUUUUCUCAUCUCUCUUAAUCUUCUUCUUUAUCAUAAAUUUGCUGUUUAUCUCUACUUCUUUUCUGUGAAUUGAUCAUAUCGCUGCCUCUUUUACUGUAGUUUAUUUCACAAACCACACCAUGGCGAACAUACAGUGUUUUACAACAUCAAGUAUUAUAUCAUCUUAAAACCAUCAACAUACGACACAAAUAGUCCACAAAUUAUUCAAAAUCUACUAUUAACUUAUAAUUUGAACUUCAUACCAAAAGUGUUUAAAAUAUUUCGCGAUGUUAAUUCUAUCUCAACUAACAAUAGUUUAAACAACCUUUCUUAAAGUUCUUUUUUUAUGGUAGAAGUAAUACAUGGAUUUUGACCUGGGCCGAAAUCUUGUUUCAGUUCUAUCCAAACCAUUUCAAUCUAUAAUCCUAUUUGAAUCUUGAUCUCCACUUAACAUCAUAAAGAAAAAAAGCAUUUCACAAUUUUUUAGCUUAGUUGGACAAAUUUAAAUCAGAUUGACUUACAAGUUACAAAACCCUAUAGAAAUUAGCUACCAUUUUCAAGGGAGAAAAAUUGGAAUCUAAAAGGAAAACUUAACCAAGCAAUAUAAAUUCCAAAACUUCAAUGAUUGGAUGCUUCUAAUUGUUUGUUAAUUUGAUUUAUGGAAUCAAAACUACAUUUUCUCCAAUCAAAAAUUCAUAGAAGCAAGGGAUCUUGAGGCCAAGGAUUUUCUCUCCUACCACCAGAAAGCAGAAAUUCUUCCAUCUUGUACUAUAUACCAGAAAAUAACUAGAAUGUCUUUCAUAAGAUCUAGUACCUGACAACCACUAAUAGCAGAAAAUUCUUCCAUUUUCAUAAGAUCAAGUACCUUUCAAAAGAGUCCAGAGAACAGAAAGAAUUGUAACAUAAAAAAUGUGACAGCUAAAAUCCUAUCUCAUUAGCCGAUGGUUUAUGUCAAUGUUCUAGAACUUUGACGCAUACUGGUAAGAUAUAGUAUUGUGAUCCAUGGCUCACCAACAAAACUAAAAGUUUGAAGAGGUUCCUGUCAUGAUGCUUUAUCAGUUUAUCUUAUGUCAGAAACUAUAAAUUACAGUUGAGCAAGCAAGCUUCAUCCAAGAUAUUGGACAAUUGAAAUAUCACAGGCAACACCUUACAUGACAUAGAUCUAAGAAAACAAUCCCAAACUUCUUCAUUUCUGAACUUGUAAGGAUCAUACCUAAGGGUCCAAUCUUGUGCUCCUGGCUAAAAUCAAUCAGGUCUUUCAUGUUAUUUACCACCUCAGAUAUCUGUAGACAGCGGACAUACAUAAGAUAAAUGAAUACUCAUGGAUGCAAGCAUAUUGGACCAUAAUCUCUUCGGCAUAAUGAAACAAACUACCAGAACUACAUGAUAACUACCUGCAAGCAUCGCACGUAUCUUUUUGAGAAUCCUAAAUCAUUUAAGGACGGUAAUUCCAGCUUUUUUGCCACCUGACAGCUUGUUUGAAGAAGUCUACAAAAAAGAAUGGAUCAGAAGAGGAAGCUCAUAAAUGCAACUCAAAAUAAUCAUUGCCCAUCACUACAAAUGAGCAUAUGGAUAUAUAUUUUGUGAGGAAAAAAAAGCAUCCAUUAAUGAAACAACACUCAUCCGUUAAUGUAAUAUACUGAAUGAGCACAAGUUACAUAUGUAAUGAAAAAGUGUUAAGAGGCAAUAAUACAUAUUUUGCUGAUAUGUUUCUUACUUGGGAGUAACCAAUUCUUCAUUUAAAUAUCUCUUAUUGCUGGAACUACUGAAGAAUUACAAGAAUAUUUUCAAUAUUUUUAUUUUUGUCUGUCACCUUAGAGAACAUCCUUAACCACGCUUACCAAACACAACUAAAGCUCCUCUAGUUUUAUAACAUUCUUAAUAUUGUUUAUAAUUUGUAGGCAUGUGGUUAUCACAUAACACUACCAAGAUAAUGUGCUUUCUCCAUGUAUUUAUAAUACUACGUUCUAUAUUCAUAUGGUACAAAUUCUUAAACAUAUGAUUUAACAAAUAGUCUUGUAAUUUCUAUCUAUUAAUGCGCGGAGCCCACCCGAGUUCGUUUUCUGCCGCCACUGGGUGGCCGCUGGGGAAACACAGCCCGGCCCCCUCUCGGGAAACGGGGGUGGGGGUCCAACAAGCACAUGCAGCAGAGGGGGGCCCACAAGCACCCGGCCCGCCCCUUCUUAUUCUGUAAAGCCGACCUCUUUUUCGCCAGUGCUGACGCAGUGCGCGCGUAGAUAAGAAAAGCAAAAUCCCAGUGGGGGCCGGUGCCUUUUUACGGCCUAAACUCCUCUAUUUGUCAGCCGUGGGGAACUACUUCCUUUAUGUCUGAGGCGGAGGGAGGGGGAUGGGCCUACCUAUCCCGAUAGGACCCCAUAAAGGGAGCAGUUGAGAGGUUCCAUAUUGCUGAGCCGAAGGGCAGAACUUCUGUACACAUCAAAACUAUCAAAAAAAUCCUACUAGUAGACUCCUACUUAUUAGGCUGAACUCUUAGUAUUGCCUUGGAUAUUUGUCCACCCCUAGAAGAAAGGUGUGGGGGCAGAAAUGAGAUUGGGUGGAGAUAACAAUAAACUCUAAUUGAAAACAAAUCUAAGUGGCAGAUAGGUGCCGUAGCACGAUUCAAGGAUAAGCUUGAUACCAUAUUUUAGUGAUCCAUGUAUUUGAAGUUUUGCUUACAUAAAGAAUUCAUUUAGUGAAGCAUUUUAGAUAUUAUAUUUAUAUGGAUGAUUGAAUCCUAUGACCUAACAUUUUCAUCAUAAGGUUGAGCUUCAACCAUAUCCCUAAUCAUUAGUGUACCACCAAAAAAGAUUGAACAUUUGUGGAGCAAGUUCAGUUCUACCAUGGCUGUCAUUUGGCAUAACUAAAAUGAACUUGAACUAUUUUUUUCAAUAAUAACUAACGACUCUCGAAGAUAGACACGUAGAUGCAGAAUUGGAUUAUCACAACAGGGGCUAUCAUAGAAUUAUUAAGGUAAUUUUCUGGAUUAAUUCACAAUAGCUUGUUGGGAGGACCGCUGGUCUAUGCAAACAUUGGGAGAAGGAAAAAAUCCAAUAAUUUAACAGUAUGAUGUGCCAAACAGACAUUUUCAUCUAUUAAUUUCUGUCAAAAUAAUUAGAAAAUUCAACUUUCACCUGAUUUAA
rnacentral:lncRNA from 1 species